AUCGAACAAGCUGUUUUGGAAUCAAUAUAUCGUUAAACGAUUUUUAAGUACUUAAUUCAUUGUCCAAAUUGCCAUCCCCUUGUAACAUUAUUCCUUUUUCUUAAAAUAUUAAUCCUAAUUAAGAAAGAGCAAGUAAAUCGCUAGGAACUUUUAGUCAAUAGGUGAUUGUGAGUACGUAACUUAAUUGGGCCAGUUAUUUACCUUAUAAAAUUAUGCAUGGUAUUGAACAAACAUUAAUAUGACACUAGAAUUACUAUACAUGUCACUAAAAGGGCAAAGGCAAAAUCAAAGCGAGGCAAAAUCUGAUUCAUACAGUUCUAGGGAAUAGUAUACUGCUAAUCAAGCUAGCUCAUAACACAUGCAUGUUCUUGCAUCCACAAGAGUUGAUCUCACUUGCAAAGGUCUAUAGUAAAUGAAAAAGAAAAAAAUUGACUCAGCAAUAAGCAAUUGCUUCCUUGUUGAUGGAAGCUUCACACAAGUCUUCUCCUUAUAGUAUAAUAUAAUGCUUCAGCUGGUUCAUAUAUUGCAUACCUGAUCGAUCUGGUUUUGGAUCGAUCACCUUCAAUAUUAAGCAUCUUGUCAAAUCAAAUAAGCUGUAGAUGGAUUCAUUAGUGGAAGGUGUUACCUACAAGGUUGCAACCGUUAUGCCCUUGGCUGCUGGCUUCCUUACCUUUGUGGCUGUGGAGUGCUUUGUUGAUCAAUUGGUCGCUCCAAUCAAAUUCACAGUUGGGCAGUACUUGGCCAAGUACCUUCUUGCCUGCAGUGGCCCUAUGGUCACCAAAUACUUGAACAUCUAGCUUGCUUACAUUCUCAGCUACAAGACCAACAUCGAGAAUCUGUUGAAGCAAGUGAAGAAGCUCAAGGCCGCAAGAGACAUGGUGCGGUGCGCCAAGCUGCCGAAGACGCCAAACAGAGGGGCCAAGUUGCAAUCAGAGCUGAAGUUGAGAAAUGGCUGACCAGUGUGGACAAGCUCACCGAAGAGGUGACCAAAUUCUUCGAGUACAAAGGUGAUGCCAACGACGGCUGGUUUCGUUGGUUCUAUGGUUUGUUGAUGUCGCGAUACCAGUUGAGCAAGAAGGCAAACAAGAUGAUAGAGCGUCUUGUUCAACUCCAGGCCGAUGGAGCCUUUCUAAUGAAUUAGUUAGUAACUUAGUAUAAGUUGCUUGUGAUUUUAACUUGUUUCUUCAGCACUUGUAUGUUUUGUAACAAUUGAAUGAUGUCUCUGUGUUUAUGAAAUAAUUUGCGUAUUGAUCGAUUUAAAAAAAAAAGAAGAAGAAGAAAAUAUCAUACAAGUUUGAUCUCCAUUAAUGGAGAUUAGGGCUUUGCCUUUCUCAUAAUUUUUUGCCAAAGGCUUUCUUUGAAUUUUCCUGAUGAAAUGCCAAUACUCCAUCUUAUGAGCAAGCACUCUCCUAACCAUUUAAUUUUUUCCAUUAUUGUCUUGUAUGCCUGCUCAAACAAUCUAAAAUCAUGAACUGCUGAAGUCGAUCGAGAUCUCAAUGCCCUUAAUGCAUGGCAGCCUUCCACUAGGCUCAGCUCAGCUUUGAUACUUCAUACUUGAAGGCACAUACUAAUGAUACUAAACAGCUCAUUUCUAUUUUCAGGUGUCUAGGCCUAAGCCCAAGGAUGAAGCAUUAGUUUUUCAAUUUUGAUAAUAAUAAUUGCAAAGUGCAAUGCUAAUUAGUCCUAAAUCUUUAAUUAGCUAGAGCAUUGACAUUUGUAGGAGGAACAAGGAUGAGACAAGAGCAGCAGAGUCUGAAACCCAAUCGGACUACAAAGUUGGAAGAGUAUUGAACUACUGAUCUAGCUUCCAAUGACCUGUCCUUGACAAUAUUUUACUUGGAACGUAUCCCAUCUGCUAGCUAGAUCGAAGCCAAAAUUCAAAUGAGUCGAACACUUGACAAUUGGCAUGAUUAUUAUAUCAGCCAAAGGGUCCUGCAAAUUAAUAACCAGAAACAUGCAUGCAUGUGGAGUUUUACACAAGACAACUAGACAAGGAUGGUGAAACCCCCAAUGAAAUGCAGAAAAAUUUGACAUCUCUAGCAGGGUUUCUGGUUUAAUUGCAAUUUUAAAGUUCCAGUAGGCUAUUGCAAUUGCAUUCAUUUAAGAAUGGGAUCCUUAAGAUCGAUGAGGAGGCAAAUGCAAACGACGGAUCCCUUAAUGGAUUCUCACUUAAUUUGGAGUUGAAACUUGUCGUAUUGCAUAGGAUGCCAAAUUUCCAAUGGGGAUAUCUUCUAAACUAGUUCCAAUUGGGGUGAGGUAGCCUAUUCCAAGACCGAGCAUUACUAUAAGGCCUCCUUGCAUAGAUCGAUAAUGCAAACUAAGAGUUCAAGCUUCUGUCAUGUUCCACAUAUCCAAACACAUAAACAUGAAAAACUCAGACCCAAUCAACAUUUCAUAAUUAAGAUACAAUCCGUAACUUAUUGCUUUGGUUGCUAUAAAAUAUCCAAGAUCUCAUUUCUAGUCUUUACCAUACUUGUUUUGUUUCUAUUAUUAAAAUUCAACAUUCAACAUCCACCUGCUUAAAAUUUUCAAUGGGGAAAGCAACAGUUUUGUAUAAGCCUAAUAAUGCACCGAAAUGAAACCAAAAAAGUCUCCAUCUUCAGAAAACUAUGAGCAAACCAGAUUUUGUCGACUUGCAGCUUAGCCAUGGUCAUCCUCUUACUUAGGGACCAUAAAGAAAUGGACAAAGGCUCUUCCAGUCAAUUUCAUAUCAGCAAUGCCCGCCGCUCUUUAUUUUUUUGAUACAAGUUGUAGAAAAAGAAGGCUAAACUGAAAUAUAUCGACAUUGAUGUAAAAAUCCCACACAAAUUUAAAAGAGAAAUUACACACUGAUCUGUAUAGUCUCCUUUUUCCUAAUUUCUAUACCUAUUUCAGGCGGUUUCAAAAAAAAAAAAAGAAGAAGAAGAAGAAGUACAUGUAUGCAUUCGUCUACGAUCUUCCAUUGGUUUGGUUAUGGCCAUUGGUGACACCAUUUCGUGCCAUGGCCAUUUCAGUCUCAGCAGCUUUAUCUGCCUCCUCUCGGAACUUCUUGUAUAUAUCACUCUGGUAAAACUUCCUUGUCCUCAUCACUAAAAUCAAUGAAACCAAUGCCCCAAAAAAUGUGGCAGCUGUGAUUAUAAUGAAGGACAACUUGAAGCACUCUCCACCAAGACAAGUCAACUCCUCGUCUUUAUUCCUCUCGAGCCCUUUGGCCACCAAUUGCUUCAUCGCCUCCUUAUCGUAUACAUGACCGGUGAGUUUCACGUUGAGCAAGUACAAGCCGACGGGACUCGCGGCUGAACCAAAAUUGUACAAAGUCGAGUAGUACUUGAGCCCGAAGAGCUCAGAAAUUAUGGCGAAGAGCAAAGGCCAUUGAGCGCCGAAGCAAAACCCUAUUAUGACCGAGGCUAGGUAGAGACCAUUUUUAACAUUGAAGGCAAUGAGGAGGUGACCAAAGCAAGAGACAAAGAGGGUUAGGGUUAGAAUGAGAGGACGAGGGAACUUGUAUCGUUUUAGUAAAAAUUCCGAGACGAAUCCGGCGACGACUCUACCGAGAUAAUUCCAUAUGCUGACCAGGCCGACGAAAGUUUUCCUGCUGCGUGUGGGAUAUCCCAACGAAGUGCCAAUCUGACCCAAGUUGUCAAUUGCUGUCAAUGUGCCCCCAACACCACAUAUGCACGCCAUGAAUAGUAUGAGCAUGUCAAUGCUGAAUAGGGCUUGAAGAAUAGUGUAGUCUUCUCCUCUAUUUGGUGGCCUAAAACAAGUUUUCCAACAAGAUUGGCUAGGUUGUUCCUCUGUGGACUCAGGAGUUUCAUAUGUGACCGGCUCCUUUGACACCUCUAAUUGUUCUUCCGUGGGAACGACUGGCUUUUCCGUCACUAUUUUGACGUCACCAUUCAUCUCGAGCUGUUUUCUCUCCCAAAGCUUGUACUCCUCGAUUACAACAACAACAACGGGAAGAGCGAGCAAGAAGAGCACCAUCGCCGUGCUGGCGCCGUACUCUUGUUGAGUAAAGUUCACCCUAUUCUCUACUAUGAUCAUGAUCAUCAGAAAUCCGGCGAGGCCGAGAGAGAUGUACAACAUGUUGUAGAACACCUGGACCUCGUUGCUUUGUCUAAUCACCUUCAUGAUCCUAAUAGUCCUCAGAAAAGCGAACGAGAUCGCCGCCGGAAGCCACCCGAUGAGCAGAAUCAAGGCCCUGGUGUCGUUGUAGUAGAAAGCAAAGUACAUCUGCGUGAUGAUAGCGCCACUGAGGCCGACGUAGCCCUUGAGAAGCCCUAAAACGACGCCGCGGCUCUCGGGGAAGUUCUUGACGCAGGUGACCAGCGAGCCAGUGUUGGCGAACGACUGAGAAUUGGCGCCGAUGCAAAUGUACAAGCACAUCUGCCAGACUUUUGGUCUCGCGAUUUUUUUGGUGACGGAGAGCCAGAUCAUUAGGUAUCCUAAGAAGUUGAGGACGGCGCCGACCAGCAGGACCACCCACGGCGGCGUGACCUCGUUGAGGAGGCCGGAGAGGAUGCCGACGUUGGAUCCAAAAUCUUUGAAGAAGCUGAGGAGGUUGAGUGUAGAUUGGUCGUAGGCUAGAGCUGUCUUGAUGUCGGGAGAGUAGAGGCCGAACAUGUAGGUGGCGCCGGCGGCGGACAUGAUUAAGAGACAUGCAAAGACCAUGAACCACCGGCCGUUGAGGACCUGGAGGGUCAGGCUUUUGGUGUCGGCCCAUCCUCGAGGACCGGAACCCGCCAUGGCUGGAUUGAUAUAUGUAUCUAGCUAGCUAGGUUGAACCAGAGAGAGCUGUAAGCAAACUUUGGUGUGGAGUAGAGAGAAAUGUAGGAGGAAUAUAUAGAGGAAGUCACACAAAGAGAGCAAGUGACAGAGAAAGAAGAAGAUAUAGUGUCACACCAAGACUUGGUUGACUACGUUUAUAAAUGGAGUAAAUGGGAGGAGUAAAUAACUGAGGAACAAGAUAGGAACGAUAAUCCGAUCCCCUAAUAUAUAUUUCAUCUUAUCCAGAGGAAAACUAAUGUGGGGAAAUUAAAGAGUGAAUUUCUUUAAUUUGGAAUCUUCAGCUUCAGCUGACAGUUAAGUGUUCCCUGCUCAUAUUACGCCACCAUUUUGGACAAAGUCUACUAUACGUACUUAUCCAAAAUGAAUAAAUAGAGAUUAAUUUUUUUUUUUUAAAAAGACGGAUAAAUAUCCUAGCACCAAAAUUUUGAUUAAAUAAAUAUUUAGAUACUUUCUUUCUAAAGAGCAUGUGCGGGUAUUUUUUUUAUAUUAAUAUUAUGGCUACUAUCAAUAUGUAAUAUUUCAUUUUUAUUACCUAAUAAAUAAAGUUCAUUAAUGUCAUUGAUUCACCCUUUAAAAUCUAAAAGGAAAGCUUCUUGAGUCUUCUUCUCUUGUGGAGGUUCUGGUAACCUAUAAAAGGAAAGCUGGACGUCCGAUUGGAAGUAAGAAGCCGCGACAAAACAAUAAGUCUGUCAUACCUCCGCAAAGCAUUCCUGUCACUUGGGAGGUUGGUACGUGCUCUUCUGAUAAGGGCAAAGGUAAGGCUUGAGCUGUUGGGUGUCCAAAUCCGGGGUGCCCAAAGUAGUUGGGCUUGGGUUCUUUUUGGGCCUGUGCUCGAUCCUUUGGGCCCCUAGGUUUGUUUGGUCCCGCAGUUUACCUAGCAUCUCAAUUUUAAUUUUUGAUAUUUAAUUCUUGGUAACUCUAGUUGUACACUAAUUGCGGUCUCUAAGCGACUAGUUUUACUUCCAAUGAAAGUUAGAUAGACACUUUGAAAUUCGGGUGUGUACGUAGGCAUAAUAAGUGAGCUUAUAUAUAUGCAGUGAGGGCUACCUAUCAGUUAGUCUGUUAGCUUGGGUUGAAUUCAAUAUUUGGCACAAGACGUUAGUUGAUGUAAGUGUUUUUUUGCCGUGGAUAAAUAAUAAAAUUAUUUAUUUAAAAAAAAAUCUAAAAGGAAAUAGAAAGGGUAGAAUUGAUAAUGCAAUAUUAUGAUUUAGAAAAAUAUAUUAUAUGGAAUUGAAAAUAAAUAUUUUUAUUUAUAUGACAUAAUAUAUAAGAUUAAAGCCACAAAUUUUAGGUCUCACCCCCUCAUAAUAUCAACGCCCUUAUUAUGUAUGACUCAAUAACUUAUUACUUUCUCACCUUUUUUUUUUCUUUGAUACGUACGUAGUUUUCUUGAAUUUCUUCCAAUACAUCAACAUGAUUAAUUCGUUUUUAUUGUUUUGGAUGAAGGUUUAACCAAGAUAACUACAAAGCCUAAGGAGCUGGGGUCCAUGCAUCUCGCCUUAUUCUAAAGGGUAGGAAGUGGCUGUUGAAGAUGCUCGAGGAGGAUGGUUUGCUAGAGGAGGUAAAUCCCUCUACUGAUUCUUCAGAAGCAAUGGAAGUGGUUGGCAAAGAGGUAACUCUGCCUCCAAAGAAGAAGCUUUCAACUGAAGUUGCUACAGUACAUGGAGAUGAAAAAGGCGGUAGUUAAAGUGGUGAACUCCACUUCGAUUAUUACAUCUGCUUGAUCGGGAGAUCGACAAGAAAAAUAAGAAUUAUGUUGACACAGUUUAUAACACUUCGGAGUUUUUAAUCUCUUUGUUUUUGGUUUUAUCUUCGUAGAAGGUGAGUGUAUUUGGAUUUAGCUAGGAUAGUUUGUGUGAGAAGCGUAUUAUGGGCAUGUCGUUAUUUGUAUUGUUUAUUGAGAUUCAUUAAUGAAUAACCUCUCUUUACCAAAAAAAAAAAAAAACGUCACAACAAUGGAAUCACGAGCGAGUUAAUUGGAGCAUCAGAUCGUACUUUUCUAUCAUCUAUGAUCACUCACAAUAUCAAAUUCCACAACGUUGAAAUUUCAUAAGAAAUGGGAACUUGUAGUACGUGUCUCUACGUACUUGCCUCAUAUGGUUACUUGCCCCUACUUGCUUUCUCUCAACAAAUAUUGUCAUACUAGUCCUCUCUUUUUUCUUUUUUUUUAUCACGUUUGAAUAUCCAGCAUUUAACCGUCCAAAAAUAAAAAUAAUCUUAAAAAUUUAUUAAGUACGUUUUAUCUAAAUUAAGUGUCUUUCUAGUAACUUUCGUUGAUGAUGAGAUUGAAUAUUAACAUGCACUCUAUGAUCACAUCUUGCUGAUUCAAGUGAAAAAUUUAGUAAAUCAACAAUCUGUUCGAUCGGUUAUAAUUAGUACUACAUAAAACAACAGUGAUUGAUUCGAUAAUAAAUCCCCUUAUCUUGAUGCCUUAUACAUAAGAAAUAAUUGGAGUAGUAGUUUAAUAUAUGAAUUCGUCAAUGUAGGUGCUGGAUAUUUCUCUAGAGCAGUUCGCAAAUGGUGAUGCAUGCUUGACGCGGAGCUAGCUCGAUCGCAAGUAGCUGGGAACACAAUACUGGAAUUUUCAAAGUCAUGCAGUAGCUUUGACUAUGAAGAUCAUGACUGAUGGAUCCGAUCGCCCCUCAUAAUAUCAGCAAUUUAUUCAUUUGUGUAAUACAAAGUCGGUCGGAAAUGUCUGGUACAAGAGCAAUCAAUAGCUUUGAGGAAAUAGUACAUCUUCAAAUAUGUGGCUAAGCCCUGCCCAUUGAUUUCUGAUCGAUUGUUCAUACGGAUGUCGAUCGAUGACAAUAUGUUGAGUGGCUAUAUAUUAAUUAGUGUUGUCUUGUUAAUUACCAAUUUUGUUCUUCUUCAAAUCAUCGUAAGAUAAAGUAUCUCGCUGGAUCAUUAUCGACAAAAUAUAAAGUCUUUAAUAUAUAAAGAGUAUUAGUUUGUUAAAUCUAUAUGUCAGUUCAAAUAUUGGUGAACAACAACAGAUCGACAACUAGAUCAUGAUCGAUCACGCUAGUUGGAUAUCAGAGUUUCGAAUGUGUGAUUCCCUUAAUUAAAAUCUUGCGAGAGUGCAAAGUACCUGAAACUCUGGUCACAUUUGUUUCGCCUUCCUUUCAUUCUUUCCAUCGUUCAUACAUUAAUCUUAUCAAUUUGUGCUCCACUACCCAACAAACAAUACAGCCUUCGUGUUUGUGUGCCUGGUAAUAUAUAAUGAAGAACUACAAUGCAUGUAUACACGGAUAUCGGAACUCCAAAUGAUCCUAAAUGAUUAAUUUUUUGCCAUCAUUUGUAAGGUCUUUAUCAUAUCGUGCGUGAUUGAAAGUCGUAUAUAUUCCCCCAAUUAGGGUUUGGAGUUAGCAAUUUAAAUUUAAAGAAAGAACAUUAGUUUGCAUCAAUACCAUUUAGUCUAGUGGUAUUAGUCUUCUAUUUGUAAGUAUGAGGUGCUAGACUCAUUGUAGCAUUUCAGUUAUUUGUUUGAUAAAAGAAAAAACAUUAGUUAAUUAAUCUAUAAUUAAUUUGGAGUUGAUUAAUCAAGAAUAAUUCAUGAUUUUAAUAAAUAAAUAUUUAAAUUCCUCUCUAACUUUAUGUAUCAAAUUUGAACGUUGGGAUAUGCCAUCACCUUGCUUGUACCAAACAAUCUUCUAUCUUAGUUUUAGUCAUUGCCAAACUCUGUCAGGUGUUAAUAAGGGAAUCAGAUCCUACGCCAUUCCCAUAUUAUAACCUUGAUCUGAUCAAAAACUCAAAUGUGAUCCAUUUUAAUAUGAAAUUCACACCCUGUCCCAUGUGUAACUCAUAAGUGCUCUUGCAAUAUAUUCGUGAAAAAUAACGACUUCAUGUUAUAUAUAUAUAUAUUGACCUAUCGCUACCUAGUGUGUAAGUUGUAUAGCAAUUAGCAUUUCAUUCUUUAAUUAUAAAUCAUUAAUUGGUCACUUUCUUCGAAAUUGGCAAUGGCAUUUCUAUUUGCUUAAUUGCUUGCUAUGUGAACUAAUCCUUAUCAUGCAUAGUGUGAUUAGCUAAUUAAAUAAAGAGUGCAUUGUUAAUUACAAUAACUGAUAAGCCAGCUUCAUAAGAAACAAAGUAUGAAUGAUAAGCUUUCAAUCAGUAUCAUUAACGUCUUAAAAGAAUGCGUUAGAUUGGAUUCUUAUGUUUUUGAUAUCGUUUAUUCAAACUUGCUGAAGGGCCAGCCUUUGCCGCACAGAUCGAACUUCUUCUAAUUGUAUUCUAAUUAGUUGAUUAGUCGUCUAUAGAUGUUCAUGUCAAAUUCGUAUAUACCUGAUAUGAACGCUCACAAUUGACCAGUUUGUUUCGUAAUCCAUUUUGUUAAGCUUAUUAGCACACACUCGAGUGAGGCAUCCAAAAUCUAUUUUCUUUAAUUUCCUUGCUCAAGUACGUAGACGAUUUGAUAUACUCCAAAUUACUCCAAUUAGUUUGUAACAGACUGUGGUCAAUGAAAUUCGCGUUUUUGGACAUUUGUAGUGAAAUUUUAGUUUUUUUCAUUCUUAUUUUACCAAACAAUGUGUCAUUCUCAAAUGACUUAUCUAAUAGUACUCACUAAUUGUUAGAUACUAUUGUAUUUGAAAAUACGAUUCUCGAUCAUUCACAAUUUGACAACUCAACAUAUGAACCGUAAGUAUAUACUCUUUUGUACUACUAACCCGACCUCGUUAAAUACUAGUUAUAUACCCGAACACAUGCUUGUAAGUGUGACGACUUUUUCGAUCGGUCCAGUCAGUACGUAGCCCUCAUAAGUUGUCAUUUACGAACAAAGCAUAGUUGAAUAUUGAGCAGACUACCCGUCACCAAUUUCUCAUACCAUAUUUGAUAUAUCCAUCCAUACAAGCCAAACCAGAGAAUUCAUACCGGUGAAAGCUACAACAUUACCUAUUCUAUACAUGGAAUCAUAUAUAGUACUAUUUUCCUCAGUACUCAUUCGUUUGGGGUCAAUGCCGCUGUUCAUACGCAAAGAGCAGCCACACGUAUACUUGCACAGAAACUUUGGAUAGAGGUUUGGUAUUCUUCUCGAGCUUGAUAUGUUGACGAUUCGAAAGAAGCGAAAGAUUUCCUGGUUGCUCUCUGUCUAUUUAUAUAAGAUCAACUCAGCUGGCUAGUCAACUCCCUUGAACAUCCGGCAUUGUAGUUUUCUGUGCUUUUGGAAAUAUGUUGAACUGAGCCACAAAGCGAUUCUGAUCUCUCUGUUUUUCGCCUUCGUAAAGUAGGCAGAGACCAAGUGUUUACACAGUGAAAGGGAAGAAAGAAAAGUCUUAAACCACAUGUUUAUGAUUCUAAUUAACUUAAUCUAUAAUCUUCAAAAUUCUGGAGCUAGACAGAUUCGCUUCCUUGUAUGCAGUUCUUUUGUUUUUGUUUUCCGAUAGUGGGUGUCAUUUCCAGCACUGAAAGGUUCUAGUUGAUGACAUCUUAAUCCAGAUCAUCAGAUUAUGUUUCUUUCAUAGAUAGAACUUAGAAGCUUCAUAUUUGACUUUGGAAAUAGGCCCUAAAAGAGCCUCAAUUUCAGACUUCGCUAGUCUUCUGGUUUUACUUGUAAAGUAGAAAGCUGCUUGAUGCUUUUCUCAGAUUCCUCUCCUAGCCGCAACAGUGACUGGGAAUUUUGACCCAUCUUGGAAUACAGAGCCCCUUGCGAAGCAGCUCCGCUCAUGAGUCCUUUCAUCCAUCUCGAAGACUCAAGAGAGAUAACUAGUCUGAAAAGAUCUAUCAUUAACAAGUUCACAAUCCCAUUGAGACAUUCCACAUGGAACUCAACAAACUUGUAUACUAGCUCUGCGGUAAGAACACGAGGGGAGAUAAUCUGGCCAAACAAUGAGUGUGGACUUUGUUAUGGUUUGGUAUCCCACAGUAGAACCAUCCAGCACGACUGAGUUAAGAAACAAAGUAAUGUUUGGACUCAAAGCACGUACUGCAGAGAGCCACAUAUGUUCCAAUAACUCCGUUUCAUCACAGUAUGCUUACACAAGGUCUAGAGACUUAUAGUUGGGGGUAUAGAAUUUCUACUACCAAAAAGACUAAAGAGAUGAAAAGAUGAACACAAACAAAUACUAAUUUUCAACAACAGGUCUAUUUUUCCAAUUAGAAUUACCCUAAUCUCUCAUGUUCCUUUAUUUCUUUGUCAACAAAAGAAUUAAAGGAUAGAAAGAGAGAGGGUUACAAGUAAUACUCAAACAAGUAACUAGUAAACGAUAGUAAUGCAUAAAAGUCCUCCUACGCAAAUUUACUUUCAACAUCCCACAGCAAGAAUCUAAAAAUCGUACACAUAACAGCUACAAGUUCAAUGAAAACUGACAAUCCCACUUUUAGACAUUAGUAGCGGUCAAAAGAAGAUGGGCGGCCUCCCCUGCUAGGGCGGUCGUAAGGGCCAGCCCUGCUACGGUAACCUCCCUCAUCUCUUGCUGGACCUCCUCUUCCAUAUCUAUCACUGCCACCUCUCACUCCACCAUCCCUGUCAUAGCCUCUGUCUUUUCCAUAGCCAUUUUGGGGGUAACGAUCAGAACCACCAUAUCUGUCACUAGCGAAACGAUCACCAGCUGGGUACCUGGAGAGAAUAAGUGCAGAAAGUACAGCAUAAGUGCAACUGUAUAAUUAAUUUUUUUUUUUCUCCCAUCACAUGUACAUAAAACAAAAUGUUUUAUUUAAGCAUUAAAGAAUAUAAAAGGGGGUCUGAAUGCACGCAACUCAAGUCUAUAAGCUAUAACCAUACAUAACGACAGAAUGGAACAAGUAGUGGAGAAGUAAUUGAUACCUGUCACUGACAUAGCGAUCACGGCUCCCAUAUUUGUCCUCCCUGCUGUCAAAACGAUCCCUAUCUCCAUAGCGCCCUCCAUCAUAACGGUCAUCCAUGUAGCGAUCAUGAUCUCCACCAAAGCGAUCCACACGCCCACCUCCCCCAAACCUAGAAUGUGAAGAGAAUGAACCUCCCCCUCCACCUCUUCCACCACCAGCAGAUGGGCAGUCUCGAGCCCAAUGUCCUGUACGCCCACACUUGAAGCAUUCAUCUUGGCCCACAGAUCUAUCACCACCUCCUCCAUAGCUUCUCCUGCCACCAGAAGAGUAUCCUCCCCCUCCUCCUCCUCCUCUAUAGCCAUGAUCAGAAUCUUCACCUCCCAUCCUGGGUUGGGCUUUGUUCACAGAGAUAGUGCGGGAACCCAAUUCCUGUCCAUGCAUCUCCCGGAUUGCAUCUUCCAUUGCUCGUCGAUCUCCAAAUGUGAUAAAACCAAAACCACGAGGACGCUUUGUAUCUCUUUCCAGCAUGAUCUGCAGAAAUUCUACAUUAGAGUGAUCAUACCCAGCGUCUACAUAAACAAAAAAAUUAGAGUGAUUUCUUCUCAACACAAUGAUACUUGCAAGAUUUGCAAGUUAGACAGAAAGAGCAUCAAACAACAAAAAUUAAGGAUGCAUUGCAUUAGACAUGUAUGACUCCACCACUCGGAAAAUUAAGGAUUCAUUGCAUUAUAAUAUGCAUUAUAAUUGCAUUCUACUAAUUCGAAGUAUCAAUAUGUAUAAUGUGAUACCACUGAACUGACAAAUGUGUUUCAAAGCAUGAUAAAUAAUGAGAAUACAAUUCAUAUAAUAUAUAAAUAGGAUAGAACAUUGCAAGUAGGGCAUGAUCCGGUUUAACUGAGAAUCUGAGAUUAACAAGCAAUUGAAACUAAACCCACACCGUAAACACACAUCUAAGAGAGGACAGGCAUUAUAAAUUAGACCAAUCAAGCAAUGAGUGAUUCAGAAUAUAUUUUAUCGUGCGAGUGACUAACUAAAGAACAAUAAAAUUGGAGACGCAAUAGGGAUUGUACCUAAAAUACGUUUUGCAACAAUCUAACUGGUAAUUAAAAAUGAGUUUAUACUUACUUUCCUUUUAUAAAUAUGGAUAACAGAGCACCAUUUCAUACUGGAAUAUUUCUGAUACUAGAAGAAUCCACAUCUGACAACAGAUGACCACUGACCUCGAAUUCCCACAACAUCAAAUGUACUGGUUCCAGCAUAAACUGUUCCAGCAUAAAUGCAUAUAGUCUCUACGCCCAGAACACUAUCACUUACACCAGCAGUUACAUCGACACCCCAAACAUCUGUCUUGUAGUCACAAAACCAAUAUUCUUCUGGCAAAGCUACACAGAUCAGCCAGAAAAAGGCAGCUCUUGCAGCAGUUGAUCUUUAAACUAUUCAAAAUUAACAACUUAUAAAUACAUCUAGUUACCCACGGCAGACAUCUCUACUCUGCAUACUAUGACCAACGUGUUCCAUAACUACAUGGCUCCAUCAGUCUUUCAACAAGUCAGAAACAGUAACCAAAACAUUCAUAAACAAGCAAGAUACUCUGUCCAAGAUAAUGCUGAUUCUCUUUCCAUCAACUAACCCUGAUAUAGUCAACACCUGAAAUCAUAUUUGUGUUUCUGGCUUUUUUGAUUUUUAGGAAAAUCCUACAAUUUUUAGUACUAUCAAAAAUUCGAACCCUCAGGUAUUAAGGAGUCUUAAAUCAAAGUUUCAACUAUAAAUACGCUAGAAACCAUCGAUAGAUAGUGAAGCAGUGAUGUUGCUGAGCUCAGACUUGUCCACACAAUAUGAUAAUCAAACAGAAUACUCCUUCUGACACUUUCAAAAGUGAAACUGAUCUGAAUGAUGACUCAAAAGACCAACAGACUGCAUUGCAAAAACGUGGUCAUAUGUGAACUUGCCAGACUGACAGUGUUGGAAGCCCCAGUGCUAAUGUCAAAAAAACUCUACAAGGUCUAGAUGAUCUUCAUUCCCCGCUAAACCAGCAUAAAUAGCUUAAUCAUCACAACAAAACAAUAAUAGCAGAUAAUAAGCAGUUCAAACAAAGUUCAAGUGCAAGGCUCAAAAGCAGCCCUAACUUCAAGUGUGCUCCUCAUUAGCAGAUGAGAGGAACCCAUUGUCAGCCAGAAACAGUUUAGAGUCACUAACCCAGACUAACCCCUCAAGCAUGAACUAACUAAAUCUGACACUUUGGAACCUCACCCAAUCAGUCAUCAGAAGUCUACUAUAUCUGAACAAAAAGUUAGCAAGAGACGACAAAAGCUUUGCGAUAUAGUAGCCACUAAGAAUCUGCCCACAUAACAGAUGAUUGAGUUGAAGUAGAUGACCCUCUGAAUUCUAUGAGAGCAGAAACAUGUGACAUGAAGGAGGAGGAGAAAUUAUCCGGCUCAAAGAUCUCUCAGAAGACAGACACAACCUUCACCGUCAUGUUUUGAAUCAAACCAACCAAAAAUAUUGGCAAGCUGAUAGAUAUAUGGGCCUUUGUUCUACUUAGAAAAAUAAAAUAAAAAAACUUCUUGCAGCAAAAGAACCAAAUCACUGGUUCAAGCAACAACCAUCUGAGGCUUCAGCACUCGAUGAAAAGAACCCAAAAACAGAAAGCAUAACUUCAGAGCAAGAAACUUCUCAUAUUUGACAUGUCAUCUGACUUGUCAUUUAGUCGUUUGAUCCUCUAAGCAAUACUUAUGGUCCAACUUCCCAACAUUACCACAGGACUUUCUUGUGGAACUCGCAUCUCUUCCAAGAGAUUAAACCUAAAAUUAGCUGCCUUGAACCAAACUCCACAAAUCGCGAGACCAUCUGCUAAUGUUUCUAUUUCCUGUCUUGAGAUCUGUAGUCCCAGCAGCUAUAAUCUACUACCAAAAACGACACACAGUCUGCAAACUCGAUGCGACCACUUAACAAAAACAGCUCUACGAAAUAUCCAUCAAUGCACGGCAUCAAAAGAUCAUAACUCCACAGAACAAGAAAACAAAAGAGCAUUAAUAUACAAAGAUAACAGCAAAGUAAAAUAAAGUAUCGUACAGAGAAUCAUCAAAACAGUAUCAAACACAUCUAUACAAUCUAUGUAGUGUACUAUAUCCAUACAAUCUCACUGCUCAAGAUCCCGAUACUACAACACCUUGCGUUUUGAACAGUAAAUUCACCAAAAUCAAAUCAAAAUUAAGCAUUUUACACUCCGAAAACCUUUGCAAGUCUCAAAUUUCAUUCCAACUUUAAAACCGAAAAUGUCAAAUUUUCUUUUUUGUUUCACAAAAUAGCACCGAAAUUCUCAAUCAAAGAAUCUAGCAGCAGAUCAAACGAGAGCCUCCAACUGAUUAACACAACCAAUCUUGAACCUUCUUUUACUAAAAUCCCUAAAUCGAACCCCGAAUUUCAGAAAGAAAUUUCAAAACCAGCAAAAAUUUUUCAUAAAGUUUUCAAGCAAAAGCAAAGAAGCUUCAACCUAUAAAGCGCAAGGCACACAAUUACAAGCGUCGGAGAACGAAUUGGGGGUUACCUGCGCUUCAUGGACUUUGCCAAAGCGAGCGAAGGCGCUCUCGAGCUCAUGCUCUGUGACUUCAUAGGCUAAACCUCCGACGAAGAUUCGGUACUCUUCUCUCCCGGCCAUCUCUCUCUUUCUCUCUUUCACUCUGUGUAUUUUGGUUUGUACCCAAACCCUAACCGCUUCGGCUUCUCUUUCUAUUGCCUCAGUCUUGCUUUGAAUUUCUUUUUCCCCUUUUCUUUUUCUAUUUAUUUACUUUGUAAAUUAGGAUAGGCCCCAAUUUUUGAGGUCCUUUUCACUUUAGUCCUCCAACUUUUGUUUUUUUUCUUUAGUGCUCCAAAAUAUUGUAAUUUUGUAGUAAGAGUUGUUAGAUUAGAUUUGAAUGAGACAUACAACUAAAUAUGACUAAUUUAAUGACUCAAUUAUAUAGUUUUAAUACUUCGGAGCACUGUGUAAUGUAAAGAAAAUCUCCAAAGCAACUAUAAAUCCCUCUAGAAUUUUGUGUCUUUUUGUAGAGAAUUGUAGUCUAAUAGUAAUUUUCUCUUCUCCAUCUUUGAUGUCAGGUCAAGUGACAAGUGUCGAGUUCGAAUCUCAGGGCGAAGCAAAGACAAGAAAGAGAAAAAAGAACUGAUCGAUCUUGAUUCAUUAUAGCAUUGGAGGAUGAAACAAUUGCAAAUAGUUACAGCUGUGAAAGAAUUACAUCAAUGGACAUACAUAAUUUACAGGGCUGUACAUGAAAUGGCACAGGUAUCAACAAGUGAUUGAAGUGUGAUCAACUUUCAGGCUUUUCAUCCCUACUUCUAUUGUUCUGAUAAAAGGGGGAGCCUAGUAACACUGCUACCACCACCCCCACCAGUUAGUGAUUUAGAGUUGGUCGAUUUUAUAGAACCGGAUUUUACAGGUUUUGAUGAACUCUUCUUGUUUAUCCUCAUGGGAAGAAUCUGCAACCUCGGAUUGCGCUUAGUGCCUGAAUUUUCAGCUGCCAACUGAUAACUUUCCACCAGUUCCAGCUGUCUAGCAAUUAUUUCGGAGCAUCUUGGAAGGAGCUCUACUGCCUCUCCACCAGGAAUUACAAUAUACUCGAUUGCAAGUCGAACCUCCUGACACAAACAAAAGGAAAUAUGUGGUACCAUUAAGCAGAUGAUAUAUGCUGACAGAUUCAAAAUCAGAAAUACUGAAAGCAAAUGUGGAGUUGCAUAGCGUACAACAGAGAGGACAAUUUCUCAGAAACUGCCGGUAGAGGUAUCCAUAGAAAAUACGUGGGAUGGGAAAGGAAAUGCACCUCCAAUGCAUCGAUCUCUUCUAAAGAUGGUUUUCUUUUGGGUGCAUCAUCUUCAAUUUCAAUGUCAAAGGAAUUAUUGACAAGCUGCUUUGGCAAAGAGCCAACUGAUUCCAUUUCAAGAAUCAUACGAACUGCCUUCACGAUUUGAGCCAUGGUAUUUGACUGCAAGAUAAACAUCAAAUAUGUGAGUGAGCCCCAGCAAGAUUACAGGCAUAUACAGAUACAAUACAUAGACACAGAAAGUCUAAACGGACAUUACCUUCAUGACAAAUACAGGCAACUGGUGAAAUUUUGCUACACUACGGAUCCAUGGGUUUUGCUUCAUUUCAGCACUUGAUGCUAUAAUUGCAUCUGCUGUUCCAAUAUCAUCAGAUACCUCAAUUUCAUCCUCAAGCCCCAUUACCUUUGCUACUUGCAGUAGGUCAGCUUCAAGGAUCUGCAAACAAACAAAAAUGAAGGGUCAAUUGAGAUCAUCUGCCUAGUCAGCAACUAUUGACAAUACAAGUUCUUAGGGGUUUUGGUCAAAUUACAUCCUUCAUGGGUGUAGAUUUCCAAUUAAAGCAGAAAGUGAACCAUGUGGAAACCAAGUAUUUUACCUUGUAUGUAUAUAUACACACUGGUGAACUUCUCUUCUUCGCAGAUUUAUCACUGCUCAAUCUUCUAGACACAUUGGGUGGAGGAUCUAGAUCUUCCUCGUCAGACUCCAAAACACUAGCAACUAUGUCUGUAGUAACAACAAAAUCUGAUGCUUUCAGAUAGUUGUGUUCAGAGAUUUGAGUAGGCAUGCAAGAGUCAUCAGCAUCAGCAUCAAUACGACGAACUUCAAACAAAGGAGAUUUCCCUAUAAGCCAGAAACCUUCAUAUCAGAUUAGGUGUUCCCUUACAACUACUCAAGUAAUAAGUACAGAUUCUAAAGGAGAAAAUGUGAAGUACCAGCUAGUAUAGCAUCAACUGUUGCAUCUAAUCUGUGAUGAACACGAAAUUCUGUUUUAGAUAUGAUCUCAACAGCACAUGUAAAUGUAGGAGGCCCCUUUCUUUCAAGAAUUGUCUUUUGAACUUUCCUCUUUCUCGCUUCUUCAUCUCCCAGGGUCACACUCUGCAAUUUACAUGAAGAAUUCCUUUAAUCUAUCAACAUUUCUUAUCCGGGAACUGCUUAAAUGGUAAUACCAAUAAUGAAUGAUCAUUGCACUGGAAAGGAUAAUUCAUACAAUAUGGCACCUUGCAGAAUUAAUGCCACUUUGUAUACCCUCUUUUAUUUGGUUAAUCACUUUGUACACUUACAAAAUGAUAAACUUGAUGCAUACCAGAAACACAAUUGAAAAAUGUAUAUAACUCCAAUUUGAAUGAAUAUAGAGUGGAUGGCAUUGUACCUCUAUGCCACCAACAAGGAUUUGUAAAGAAGGAUUCUUUAUGAUGUUGUCUAUUGUCAUUCCAUGUGCAGUUCCAACUAGUUGAACUCCUCUUUGGGCAAUAGUGCUGGCAGCCAAUGCUUCAAGCUCUGUCCCAAUUUCAUCUAUUAUAAUGGUUUGAGGCAUAUGAUUUUCAACUGCUUCAAUCAUAAUCUGCACAAAAGGAAAGGGCAAAAGAGAUUAUACAACCAAAUGAGUUGCAAAAGCGUAAUACUACUGGGGAACUAAAGCAACAGUGACAGAAAUGAGCCCUAUAAUCAAUGUCAACACUCACAUUAUGCUGCAUGUUGACAUUAGGAACUUGCAUCCUCCUUGCACGGCCUAUUCCUGCAUGCGGAACAUCUCCAUCUCCUCCAAUCUCAUUAGAUGUAUCCACUAUUACCACACGCUUCAUAUGCUCAUCUGCCAACAUUCUAGCAAUUUCUCUGCACCAACAACACAUCCAAACAAAAUUCAGAACAUCUUCGCUCUUUGAUUCCAGGUCACAGUAGGAAAACAUCAAAGUAGUACAUAUACCUGAUCAAGGUCGUCUUGCCAACUCCGGGAGGUCCUAUCACCAAGAUUGAACCUCCACCCUCAACCAAGUCGCGGAUGACCUCGGCACUCCCUGACACCGCUCUCCCCACCCGGCAAGUAAGUCCAAUGAUUUGCAGCUUUCGGUUUCGAAUAGCACUAAUACGAUGUAACGAGUUAUUAAUUCCAGAACGGUUAUCAUCCGAAAACUCACUAACCUGCAAACAAAACAAAAUUUCCAAAAUCGAAUAAGAAAACAUACCAAAAAAAAUAGUUCCAUCUUCAUCAAUCAACUUCUAAGUAAGCAUAUAAAAAGUUGCAGUCUUGUUUAAAUUGUUUAAAUAAAGUGAUUAGUUACCUACUAAAGAAUUAAACCAAUAAUUAACACCGCUAACCACCAAAAUGGCUUAAUUACUAUUUCUAGAGAACAAUUGUCACAGUCUUUUAUCACCUUAGAAACAGCGAGCCGGAGAUCUUCAUGGCUGACCGGAGUCUCCGAGAUCACCCAAUCACCGGUCGGAAACCUCGCGAUCGGAGGCCGCCCCAAAUCCAUCACAACCUCAAUGAGCUUCCCGAUCUCCUCAUGCCUGUACAGCUCGCUCUUCAUCCUCUCCGGCAGCAGCUCCAGAAACAUCUCCAUCUCCGUCCGCGACGUGGACGCCGAGCUCCCGGAACUCGAAGACGGAGAGUUACCGGAGAAGAACCGAUCCGAGGGGCGGCGAAUCUCCGGCGCCGGCGAGGUGGAGGAGUGUCGGGACGAAGCGAUUGACUUGUGCGCGCCACGUGUCCGACGAAAUGAGGAGGAGAGUUUGGAGGUGUGGAGAUAGCAGAGGGUGGAGAUGGGGAUUUGGUUGGCCGAGUGCCAUGAGGUCUGGAGAUCGAGUAGCACCAAUUGCGAGCUCAGAGCUCUCAUUCUGUUACAGACUGGGAUUUUGCUUUGAUAAUUUUUUUUUUUUUUUUUUAAGCUAACGAUCGGCGAGAAGAUUCGGGGGUAUCUCCACUGGGAUUGGAGCAUAUUUUGGAGGGAAGAUGGGGCCCACUAACCAAAGAAGUUCAUACACGUGGGGGCUGCUUCAACAGCCACACAAUUUUCCUCACCCUCCUUUUCAUUUUCAGACAAAAUAGAAUUCUCGAAAAUUUGUAUUUCUCUGUUCCUUGGUGUAUACGAUUGUGAAAAAUACACACUACACUGAGUACACGUAUAGAUUAGUCUGAUUCUGCUGAAAUAUUUUCAUGAAUCUCGAUGUAAAUAAUUAAAUACUGACGUGGUGGCUGUGUUGAUCAAGGAUAUAAUUGAAGUAGCUUGAUAUCUAAUUUUAACCCAAGUAGCUGAUAUCUAAUUUUAAGAAGAAAGAAAACAAGGAUGAAAAAGAAAAAAAUUGUAUGAAAGGCUGGAUGGCAAAUCCCAACACGCUUCCAGUCCUAUAGGAAUGGUCCGAAUGUGAGUAGGAGGAAAUUUUGUACUUAGUUGACGUUGGAAACUAUCAACUUGAACCAAACUAAAUGAACAUAAUUUCAGCCGUGCAAGGUUGGGGCAGGUCACUGACAAAGACGGCACCGCUGUGGCUGCUGACUAUUUCGGAAACUCAUACUAUGGUGGAAGAUCAAAGAGAGAAAGAAAUGCUAAGCAGUUGGCAUCUACUAAGAUGGCAAGUUCUAGGAGCAAUGCAAGUCAAGGUGGGAGGUAUGGGGGGUUAUGCAACUGAUAAACGGUCAUUUAUUUAUGCACAUUAUACGGUUUACACUUCAUACUCGGUUAGAGUAUUGCUGCAAUAUAGGCUUGAGGCUCAGAAACUACGCUGUACAUUGAUAAGGAUGGAAGCUGCUGACUAAAUUUGGCGCAAUCUAUUCCCAACCCAUCAGUAUAUUUCUUACACCUUCCUCGAUUUUGUUCCUUGGCACCGAAGGACAGAAUCCUUCAUCUAGCAGGAAUCUGUAGACCUCCCACUCCCGAUCUCGGAUCAUGUGUCUCACUAUCUCAGCCUGAAACAAGUUGGUAAAGAACACAAUGAAUGGUAGAAGGACGAAUUAUGUUGGAUAUCAAACCAAGAUGUAGGAUAUCACUGGAAUAAGACACUUAUAGUGGUGGUUAGAGCUAAUACCGAGAAGAUGCGUGUGCUCAGAUCUUUGAGGGCAAGAGUAAUGUCAUAAAAGACAAGAGGCCGGCCCCUGCCGGACAACUCAACCGGGUUUGCUACCAACAGCUCGGUGUCAGGGCCGCGGUUCACCACAGCCACACGAAGCGGACACAAAAGCUCCGCUCUCAAGCGAGAACACAAGGCAUCUUGCUUCUUGCUGUCAACAAUCUUCUUGCCAUCUGGUUGCACUACAAACAAGUCCAGCUCACAAUUCCCUUUUGUGUUCUCAUAGAAUCGUCCAUAAGAAACCUGAUAUUAAACCCAUAUUUUAUAUACAAUGGUCAGUAUUAUUCACUAAUAUGGUAAAUCACAACAACAACAAAGAGGAGGACUAAAUUGAAUUUUAUCAGCCAAAAAAGGCUAGAAGCACUGGCAUGAUACAAACCUUUUGCUCGCCAGAACUCACUACUGAUUAUAAAUAUAUCAAUUAUACCAACUUUACUUUACAUACAUCUCUCUAGUAUGAUUUUACCUGAACUCCUUGACCCAUGUAAAGUUUAUUGAAGUUUUAUUAGGAGAUUGAGAGCAUACAUCAAGCAUUUAACGUCAAACUAAUUAGUUUCUGCAUACUAACAUCUAUAUUAACAACAAUGACAUGUUUGAUGUGAGAAGGUAAAAUUGUGAACAGACCCUAAAAUUUUAUUUCUCCCCAAAAUUACAUAGCUUAAAAAAGAUGUACCUGAAGGUUGCAAUCCUUUAGUGUUCUCAUGAUGUCAUACACUAGACCUUUAUGAUCUGGACAGAAUAUUUGAACUAGUGUGUGAGAUGGGCUGAGGUUAUUGUCCACUGUUAUCGAAAUGGGAAUGGAGGCAAAAGGUCUUUUUAGGUGGCCGUUGGUCCACUCCAAACUUAACAUUUCUUCAGUGAUUUCAGAAGGAAGAUAAUGAGAACCCUGUGAACAUGCAGUAACUUUUGACUCGGCCAAUUCAAUUUCACAACCCAAUAAGACAUUCCCCAAGACAGCUUUCAGGCAAUGAAUUGUUUCAUCUUGCCGUCUUUUUGUAUGCAGCAGUUCUCUGAUUGAGAAAGAGAAAGAAUAUGAUUAGCCAUAUCUUAGGAGGAAAGAUGAAACAAUCUCAGAACUGACCCUCAACUGAUGUGCCCUCACACAGACACGAUGAUACACUAACACCUAGACCGGUAUAUAAUAAUUGCAAAAACAAGUUUAAAGAACCUAACUGAAAAUAUUUUGCAAACAAAAAUUGAAGGAACCAUGUUGAGGAUCUGUUUCUCUUUUACUCUAGAAUGAAACUUGAGAAGUAGAUAUACCAAAAAAAGAAAGAAAAGGAAAGGCAGAAAUGAUGCACCAUAUAUAGAUAGGGAAAUAAUGUCAAGAGUGACAAACCUGGUAUCUGUAACAAAAAAAAGGUCCAUCACUUUCCCAUCUGGGGUAGUAGACACCUUCACUCUCUCUAUUGUGAGUUCAAGCUCACAAAGAACCUUAGUGACAUCUAUUCAGUAAAAAGAAUCAAUAAUAAUCCCAAACUAAAAAUAUAUAGAAGUAUAGAUGGCACUUUUUUCUCAGAUAUAGAUACAUCGAAACAAGUAGGGUAUACCAGGUAAAGGAAAUGAAAGAAAAGACACAGAUAGAACCAUCACUUCUACAUUGAAGUUGCCAAAUGGAUAUGCACCUCAUUAUUCAUUCAACAUGACCCCUAGUUUGAUUUCUUUUCUCUAAAUGGGGAUAAUACAAUUACUGUACUCAUCUAUGCAUAAAAAUAGAUCACAAUGUUAAAGCUUUAAAUAGGCCAGUCUGAAGAAUAGUUUAUGAGUAACCUCAAUCAAUUUCAUAAAUUACUAAAUUUGGUAAAUUUUAGUUUAUACAUUAUGAGGGAAAUAAAAACUACUGAUAAAGCUUACAUCCUCGUAUACUGUUAUACAUAGAAAUCAAUUAUUUUCAGUCAGUACUCAGAUAUAGUCUAUAGUCUAUAUGAAGAACCCAAAUUGUCAUCAUUAUAAAGAUCACCGACUCUCUCUCUCUCUCUAUCAUCAUAACAAAAGAAGUGAUCUUUUCCAGCUCAAACUGUUACUAGGAUAGUUGCAUUGAAGAUUGAGAAAGUGUGAUGAAUCAUUUAGCAAGAGCAAACAACCGAAACAUUACUGUUAGAACCCAAAUGACAAAAUUCUCUAAGUCUUGUUCAUCUAAGUAAAAGUAAGCUGUGAAGAAUCAAUUCAGAGUGAACAAGUAAUCAUGCAAUGACAAUCUUGGAAAUGAAAGUUUACCAUGCAAUAGGCCUUCCUGUUCAUAAGAGCACCAGAAUUUCAAAAGGAACACAUCUAGUGGCUUCGGCUGCUGAUUCUCCGGCCGAUAAUAGUAUAUCCCAGAAGUGGUAAAGUAUGAUGGACACACUUCUAACAAUCUCUUUGUCAGCAAAUUCCACCUAGUCUCCGGCUUUCCCACCACCCAAAACACUAUGUAGCACCAUUUUCCGUCGGUCGAAACAUCUUCAACACAAAAGCAACAAAAAAUGUUCACUUUCAUCAAAACAGUAUUGAAUUCUACUAAUUUUCCACUACAAAUUCUAUGAUCCAUCAAGAAUGCCUUACUUUCUGCUUUACAACAAAAGAUCCUAAACUGAAGACUCAUUCUUUGUGUCUCUCUAAAGCUCGGAUCGACCAAUUAGUGUUUCAGCAAACUUCAAUAAAAUUCAUUACAUGCAUUCUCAAGAAUUUCAGAUCCAAAUAGUAAAAAACUUUUCAAUGUUCAAAACAAACCACACCACUUUCCCAGCUCAAAAUAAAAAACCACCUCCAGAAAAACCUCAAAUUACUCAGAAAAACAAAGCAAUCAAACCAAAAGCUUAAGAAAACCUCACCUCCUCUGCAAAUGCUCAGCCCAAACAACAAUAUGACCCUGCACAGAUCACAGCCUAACCCAGUUUUGUCGGGGCAAUUCACAGUGACCACAGUGGGAUCUCCAGCCUUCUCUCCCUGGCUAAUCACUACCACGUCCUCAUGCAAAAUGCCCAUUCCCGCCAAGUUCCUCUGUUUUUUUUUUUUUUUUGUUCUCUGUUUUCCGGUGACCAGAAAACUGAGCAAAAAGAUACCCAAGUUGGGUCUGGUGGGUAUCUUCCGAUUCUUGCUCUUGUUUUUUAAUGAGCAAAAUUAGUGGGAGAUUCCAAAUAAUAGAGGAAGAGUUUGAGAUCAGAUAGAAUCAUCCAGAUAGAAGAUAACAGAUGAUGGUUCUGUUUACUUAUGGAAUAUCAAUUUCUCAUAUUUAUCGGUGGGAGAGACUGAGUGAGAGACAGAGAUUAAAGUCUUCGAGACGUGGUGAGUAGGUGGACUCGAGUAUAGUUGAGACUGAUUUUCAAAGACAACUUUUUCGGUGUUGGUUUCCGACCGUCCUUAAUUUUCUGCUAUUUCAUGAAAACUAACAAAUAGAGUUUGGUGAAGUUCAAGUGGACCGGAAUCGUCCUACUAUAGGGGAACACCAUUAAUCAAUUUUGUUUUACAUGAUUUUGUUAUAAAUGAAAAAGAAUUAUGAUUAAUGAUACAGUCAUGAUUUAUUAGUAUAAAAUCUUAAAAAGGAAAUGGCCAUUAAGAAAUUUUUGGUUUCUAUAAAAAAAUAUGUCGACGGCAAGUCCCCUCAUCAUAUGUGGAAAUUGCGAAAUCGGUAGGUUAUUUAUGAUAUACAUACAUGGAGGAAGAUGCUACCGGUUCGUUGGGAGGUGGCAGAGAUAGAGAUCUAGUUUCAAUUAGUGUUGAAUGCCCUUUAUUGUUUCGAGUCAAGGUAUGAUAUUAGACUUACUAGUAGGUCAACAUAUUUAUGAGUUGACUGAAUUAUAAGCUGAUUUCAUGUCUAGUUACUCAUGUUGCUCUUAUGUCAAUACGGCUCAUGAUUCAAAAGUUCAUUAUAAGUAACGUUGCGAGCCUCCGUUGAGAAGCAAAAGAACCUAAGAAAAUUUUGAAUUCAUCGGUAUUUUAGAUAAAAUCUCAACAGUUCAUUUCUGACUAAUUUGGUGCUAAUCUCUUAUAGGGCUGAAUUCAGACGUUGCAUAAUGUGAUAUGUUGAAGUUUACGUAAGAAACUCGUAUGAAUGACUAUAAUGAAAAAUGCACAAAGGAGUACCAUAGUUCCCCAAAUGUAGACCAACAUUACGAAAAGGAAGGAAAACCUUCACCGAACACAUUUGAGAAAAGCACCUCACGCACAACUUGAUCUAGAGUGAGAAAUUGAAAAAUGUUGAAAAAUUAUUCUUGAUUCUAAUAUGCCAUUCUAGAAGCUCCAAAAGCUAGUGAGGUCAUGUAUGAUAUAACUUCGCAUGUAAAAAAAUCAGCUUUUUAUUCAAAAAAUUUAGAUUUUAUAGUGUUUAGCAAAUUAAUGAAAAUCAGCUUUAAAAUAAAUAAAUUACAUGUUAUUGCAAACGCUUUAAGAAACAAUCAGAAUGUUACUUUUAGAAGCUAUUGUCAAUAAAAACACUAAAAAAUAUUACAUUUUGUAUCUGCAUCAUUUUUAGAACUACUAUUACUAAACACAAACCAUUUUAAUUCAUAACUAAUUAUUUUCGUAGUACAACAACUACAUUUUUUCUACUUCUUAAAGUCGCAAUAACAAACUAACCUUGAUUUGAGUUCAAAUUUCCUUAUUUUCACUCAUCCGGGACUUAAAACGUGAAAUAUAAAUUACGUUAUAUGACAUGACACCGAUCCGUAAACGAGUCGCAAGAAACUAUCUGCUACACAUGUCUUUUUUUACAACAAACGGUCAUAAUUCGUAUGACAACUAAAGUUGUAUUGUGCUAAACUAACCCAUAUCUUAGCAAUUCAUGUCUUGUUAUCACACAAUAUAAGAAUGCAAAAAGUCAUAAAGAAACUAGAAAGUUUUGAACAAUUCUUCUACUCCCAUACUAAGCACUUUAGAGUUGUUUCAAAAUGUUUCGAUAGAGCGCGUCCUAGUGACCGACCCUAGCAGACUUGGAGGAGUAUGUUGUGGGAGGACAUAUAUUACAAUAUUGAAGUUCUUCCUAGAGAUGGAGCUCCAAAGACCCAUCUUCGUACCAGCAUCAAGGUUGUGUGAAUCAUCGACAUGAUUAGAAAAAUCCUCCUUAGUUGGAGUGCGGAGAUCGCUCUUCUUGCAGCGGUACACCGACGAAUCAACACAAUCAUGAGAUAUCUUUUGACGAAAGCCUGCAGCUUCUCACUUGGGAGGUUAGUAAACGAAAGCUUACUCUUAUGAGCCAUCCUCUUCUUCUCUCUUAUUCAUCCACUGAGAUUCUCUCUUCUUAAAUAACAAAAUUAUCAUUGAAAUAUCGGCGAUUUAAUCUUUACACAACAUGAGAAUAUCUAAAUAUUGCAAUAUUUGCGCGAAACUCACGAAAUCUUGUUAAUAAAUCAGCCCAUUUCUCUUUAUUGAGAAAUCGAAGAAGCUAUCCAAAAGGUUUUGCCAAGCCUACUCGUAUAUAUGGUCAUUAACUCGGCCCAAACUUAUGAAAUUAACACUAAAGUCUUGGCGUAGCGUAGGUAACAUGAUUCGAACCCAGGUUGUCACAUGUUAUAUCUCACAUUCUCAACCAAUCCUCUUAAGUCUUAAGAUACACUUAAUAGUCUAUUAUAUAAACUCUACAUAUAUUUUCACACUUUUAAACUUUCCUUUCGAAAUUUUAUUAAUAUCACUAUCAAAAUAUCUAUUUUUCUGACAGUCGAAAUUUUCUCGAAACGCGAUAUUUUAGUCCUUAAUUUGAUGCCUAAGCUACUUCGCUCCUCCAAACUGGGCCGGUGUUGGAUCAAACAAACAGAAACUUGAAAGGAGGAGAACGAUACAAGUCAUACAACUACGUUGAUUUUAAACAGAAACUUGAAAAGAGAACGAUACAACUACGUUGGUUUCUAACCCAAUGGAUGCCUAUGUUUGGGCCAAUAUUCCAUUUUCCUUUUUAAUAAUUUUUUUUCUUUCUAGCAGCUAGACAGCUAGUUAACCAAUUGUGAAGCUACACAACUAGGACUUGCAGCGGAAAACGACUACCACGCGUUGCAUGGAGAGGUUAGGUCCUGCAUGCAACUCCGCCGCCCGUAAAUCUCCUACUGACAGCUCUACCCCUCGAUUUGCAGAUACCGAUGUAUAACCCGAGGACAAAACGGUAAUCGUUGAUACUCCGAGCCGGACAUAAAACCAUCCAAGAACAAAGAAGAGAACCACCACCGGAAAAAUGGCCGGACCACCUCUACCUCCACCUCUUCUAACGUGUUUGGUGGGUGUUGCAGUCUUAAUCUGCGCACUAACCCUCUGUGUUGCCCUAGAUGUCAGCCCCCAAGACCCAAUCAUCCACCAAGUCACAGACCAUGAUACUAAUAAGCUCCUUGGAACCGAAAAAGAGUUCAAGAUUUUCAUGGAGAAGUAUGGGAAGAAGUACCCUACUAUGAAGGAGUACAUGCACCGCCUCGGUGUUUUUGCCAAGAACAUGAUCAGAGCCGCCGAGCACCAAGCUCUGGAUCCGACGGCGGUUCACGGCGUCACGCCGUUCUCGGAUCUGGAGGAGGAGGAGUUCAAGAGGAUGUACACCGGCGUAAGAGGUGCGCCCGGCUUAACCAACGGCGGAGGCGGUGCGGGAAGCACGGUUGAGCUUCUGGAUGUUAGCGGGUUGCCUGAGAGUUUUGAUUGGAGAGAAAAAGGAGCUGUUACUGAGGUCAAGAUGCAGGUAGUUAAUGUUACAGUUUCUAAUUUUCGUUUUUUUAUUAUUGUUUUUUUAGGUUGGUACUACACAAUAUAUGUGAUUAACAGUUUCGGACCGUACUUAAAUCCUAGCUUAUUGCAAAUCAAGUUAUGGCAAAUACGAUAUAGAAUUCUCGUAGCUGGUUGUAAAUUACUAAAUUGUGUAAUCUGAAGUCGAUCAGCUGAUCAGGUGCUGCUGGUUCUUUUGUUUAAUUGAUUGUAUAACUAGCUUGUGUUUGAGAGUUUGAAGUUUUGUACAGAAAGAUUUGUCUAAUGGAGCUAGGGUGUUUGUGGAACACGGAAUUUUUCUUCAGGCAAGGCGUUGUAUUGUGAUACUUAAAGCCUCUAAAUCUCUUGUUAUGGAUGCAGGGUGGCUGUGGGUCAUGCUGGGCCUUUAGCACAACAGGAGCUAUUGAAGGAGCCAAUUUCAUUGCCACUGGGAAGCUUGUUAGUCUCAGUGAACAGCAGCUUGUUGACUGUGAUCACCAGGUAAUUAAGCCUAGCCUCUCUGGAAUAUAUUGAAGUACUCAUUUAACUUUAGGGCGAUAAAAAUUUAAUUGAUUGAGCAUAUAUAUAAUAUUUGGCAUGCCUACUUAAUUAGUUUCGUUUAAUGUUUGUGGCAACUAUAAUCAAGUGUGAUGCAAAAGAGAAAGAUGCAUGUGAUCGUGGUUGUGGUGGCGGACUUAUGACAAAUGCCUACAAGUAUCUAAUGGAAAGCAGGAGGGGUUGCAAAGACGAGGUUUCAUACCCUAUACGGGGGAAAAAAGGGGCGAAAUGCAAAUUUAAUCCCUGAAAAAAGUAGCCGUGAGAGUAACCAAUUUCACCACUAUUCCCCUUGAUGAGAAUCAGAUUGCAGCGAACUUGGUCCACAAUGGUCCUCUUGCCAGUGAGUACUAAACCUGAUAAUAUGCUUAAAAAUAGCUAGGCUUUUUAUGUAUCUAUGUGUGCGUACAUAGAACUGCCUUAAGUGUCUUAUUUUCUGAAUAUGAUGUGCACUGUUUAGCAUAUUUAGAUCUGAGUGUAGAUACACCCCACUGAUACAGAAUCUUAAUUGAUGUAUGUAUGCGCAGUUGGCUUGAAUGCUAUGUUCAUGCAAACCUACAUUGGCGGUGUGUCAUGCCCUCUUGUUUGUUUCAAGAAAUGGGUGAACCACGGUGUUUUACUUGUUGGAUAUGGUGAGAGUGGCUUCUCGAUUCUCAGGCUCAGCAACAAGCCGUAUUGGAUCAUCAAGAAUUCAUGGAGCGCAAAAUGGGGAGAACAUGGUUAUUACCGACUUUGCCGAGGCCAUGGCAUGUGUGGGAUGAAUACUAUGGUGUCUGCAGUUGUGACCAGUACUCGGGCAUCCUAGCUGCAUCUCCCGAGAUUAGCUAGUAUACAAUUAUACACUAUAAUAUAUAUAUGCACCUCUCCCUUGUUUUUUCUUAAUCCGAAUUUGAUGUUCCUAUAAUCAUAUUUCAAGAAUAUUAUUGUUAAUAUGCCGAAGUGGAAAGUCUUGUUUACGUCAAAACCAAUUCGAACCAUAUUAUGUUAGCUUUAAAUGCUAGAUUGUCAGACUUCAAAUUUAAGUCGGGAAAAUUUUACAAUGUGUUAAUGUAUGUCAUGUAUUAAUUUUAUCCUAAAAUUGUAAAAUGAGUCUCUAAAAUAGUAAUAUUAGUACUCGAAGUUGUAAUAUAUAUGAGUAGUUGUAAAUUUUAUAGUUACAACAUUAGUCAUCAUGUGUCCUUAAUGUGUCUUUAAAGUAAAUUUUAUAGUUACAACAUUAGUUAUCAUGUGUACUUAAAGUGAUAAAUUGCGUGCUUAAAGUCGUAAUUGAAUCCUUAAAGUGAUUAAAAAAAGUUUUUAUAUCUUUGAGGAUUUGUAUUACAACUUUGAGGACUCAAUUACCAUUUUAAGGACACAUGAGGAUUAAUGUUGUAACUAAUUUUUUUUACAACUUUAAAGACUUAUAUUACAACUUUGAGGACUAGUUAAUAUUACUCCCGUAAAGACUCGAUCAUUUUAUAACUUGAGGACAAAGUUGAUGCAUCACAUGCAUUAACACACCAAAGUUGAUUCUCCACAAGCUUGUUGAAGAACUUGGUAGAAGUUUUGAUUUGUUGAAAGGCUUGAAGACGAGGGUUGAUCAAGGGCCGUAGAGGGUUGACGUUGAUCGAGUUUGGGCCACGAGCAGUUCCAUAUGGUGGUUGCUCUUCGUCUUGUAGUUGGUGAAGAUGUCUGCUAUUUAGCAAUUUGGGACUCUUUGGGAUUUGGCAACUUCUAAGCUUGAGAUUGAUGAAGAAUCGGCUAUUUGGCAACUUGAUGAUUCUUCAACGGUUUUGGGAGAAUUCUGAGUUCUCGGGAGUAAUUUUUUUCUCUUGUCCGGAAGUCCUUAUCUUGAUAUGAGAGGGGGUAUUUAUGGUGUCGAUGCUCCUCCGUAAAUAGAAUGCAUUAAAGUCACAACUUUAAUUGUAUUUCCUUAAUGAUAUAAUUAAAUCAAUCACUUUUGAUUGAUUGAUUCAAUUAUUCAAUUUACUAUAAUUAAAUCAAUCAAUCUUAAUUGAUCGAUUUAAUUAUGACCGAUAAGGUAUUUCACCAAUUUGAUUAAAUUCCGACUUCCUUUUCGAUAAUCGAUUUGAUUUGAUUGAUGUUUGAUUAUCGAUUGACAUUUAAUAUUUGAUUUUAGUCGGGAUUGAUGAUUUUGUUGUCGACCGACCAUUAUCAAGCCGCCAUGUGUUAUUUCCGAAGACUUUUCAACUUUGCUGACUCACGAGCCACGUAUGUAAUUUGUCAGGCCCAUGGGUUGUAUGAAUAAUUUAAUAAUUAUUAUUCUCAUUAAAUUUUAUGCGUCUACAAAUACCCCCACUUUAAGGUGUGUUGUAGUCAUGUUGUUGUCACGUGUCAGAGGUGCGACUUGAAGUUAUUUUUGAUGACACUUGUGGCGUGUUUUGCCAUCCACUCGUUUUUACGUCUGAAAUAUUGGUCCGUACCAUGAUGACAUUUUUGUUGCCUUUGAAAUUUGUAUUUUGAACGCUUGAGAAUCAUGCAUUGCGACCUUUCCAUAUGUUUAGAAUACAUGAGCAAUUUGCAUGCUUAGUGGAUAUGAUCUUCAUUUGAACAACUUCCAUACGUGGCUUUAAAUUUACCCGUCUCGCAACUAUUUUCAAUUGGUAGGAUUUGAAUGAGAGAUGAAAGCUUUUCUUUUCUUUUCUUAUCGAUUGAUGCGUGGCUGACAUUUCCUUCAUUGGUAUAAAUAAUUACCACCUUCUAAAUGAGUUUGGUCUUCUACAAGUAAGAAAUCGUGUAAUGGCUUGAUGACUUCUUGACCAAAUAGAAAAGUGAACGCAUGAUGACAUUAUAAAAUUGUACUGUAGGGUUUUGCCCUAAUCACUGUAUUCUCUUCCGUAGCUAGCCGCCCGCCCGUACUUCUUGUAAUUCUUUCUUCCUUCUUCUUUUUCUUUUUCUUUUUAUUUUUUUAUUUUACUGUAGGCCUCAGUCGUGAGUGAAGUUUGGUACGAAAAUAGGUCCAACCUUGUACCGCGAACUUGACAACGAAAUUGUGGAGGCAGGAUCAAUGCGAUGGUGCCAUGCAAUUGCGUUGUCGUAAUCCUCUCUAUUGUUUGAUUAUUGAUUUUACUAUCGCAUGCCUCCAUGCUUACUGACCCAUCCUUAUGCAUAGUGUAGUCGAUAUAUUUUUUUUCAGUUGCGGCUGAAGGGUCAUCUUUUCGGCAAGCACAGUUGAAGAAAACCCACGAGGUACGCACAGUUGAAGAAAACCUUCGAGAGACCAGAGCCUUGAGGUACUACUUUUGUUUUAGUUGAUUUUCUUAAUCCUUUGGCUUGUCCAUAUGCUUUCCGGAAGGAAACAAAGAUUGUCAAGAGUGACAACCCUCGUUUUUCAUGGUGGGUGAGCUUACUCUUUAAUCAACUUUGAUUGUCAUCUCAUUAUGCAAAGCGGCAAUUUUUUUUCUUCGCCAAGUUCGGCAGCAGCAUGGUACUAACUCUUUUUUCUAUUUUUCUUUUCAGAAUUUUGAUGGCAAAUUGAAGAACGCGAACACCUAACCGCUUGGUUUCUUUUACGUCUUGGACGUGAGAUAAACCGUUGAAAGUGUUUAGGCUUUACGUACCCUGACAGUAAUUGAAGAACAAGAACACCUAACCGCUUGAUUUAUUCCACGUUUAAGAUGUGGGAUAAAUUGCUUAAAGUGUUUAGGUUUUGCGUAGACGUAUACUAUUCCGCAUGGUGUUCUCCAAGAGUUUCAAGAAGGACACAAACAUCAUCUUUGAAGAUAUCGAGGAUAUUGAAAGUGAUGGCACCACCUCUCAUCUAAGCUCGCUCAUCUCUAACAACUUCUCGCUCAUCCUUGAUUUAACUAAUAACUUUGAGAUCAUGGGUUCAAACCUCACAGACAUAUGUAAGGUGCGUGAGUUAUUUAAUAAAAGUUUUUUUUUUUUAAAGAGCUCGCUCAUCAUGAUUUCACCUCUGUGAGCUUCGAGAAAUUUUUAAAUGCUACGGGAGGACCAUGUGGCAGUCUAACGUGGUCCUACGAUCCAAUCAAAUUUAGACAUGUGGAUUUUUUACAACUAAAAUAUAAACAAAUAUUUUCUAUUUUUUGUGAAAUGACAUUCAUGGGUAUUUAGCAAGUUCAAAUUAGGGUCUAGGGUAUAGGGUUUAAAGUUUAGGGUUAGAGUUUAGGGUAUAGGGUUUAGGGUUUAGGGUUUAGGGUUUGGGGUUUAGGGUUUAGGGCUUAGGGUUUAGUAUUAAAAAAACAACAAAAAAUCUAAAAUGGUCUUUGACAAAAUAGCUGAAAUAAUUUUUCGUAAAGAAAAUCUACAUGUCUAAAUUUGAUUGGAAAGAAGGCCCACGUCAGACUGCCACGUGGUCCUCCCGUAGCACUGAAAAAUUUCUCAUGAGCUUCAUUGACGUUUCUUCAACGUGGUGGUUGAUUCAAUUAUUUAAUUUACCAUAAUUAAAUUAAUAAUUAAAUUCAGUUUAUCUCUUUAAACUUUAAGUCGAAAAUUAGUUUGAUCCCUGAUUUUUUUUUUUUAUUUCACGUCAGUCUAUAUACUUUCACAAUUACAUCACUGUAGUCUAAAAUUUGAAUUUGGCGCUGAACAUGACUCUGUUGAUGUAGACCCGACAACAUGGCCCCAUUUUUAAGAUAUUAAAUUUUAAUUUGAACAUAAUGUCCAAACUACCCUUAUCUUCUUUUUUAGGAGAACAAAAAAUUAAUGUUGGGUGGGCUGGGUUUGAAGCCUAGACCUUAUCUUUUUUUUUUUUAAUCACGUCUGACUCUGCUGAUGUAGACCCGACAGCAUGGCCUCACUUUUAAGAUAUUAAAUUUUAAUUUGAACAUAAUGUCCAAACUACCCUUAUCUUCUUUUUUUAGGAGAACAAAAAAUUAAUGUUGGGUGGGCAGAGUUCGAAGCCUAGAGCUUGCUGUCAAAUACUAUGCUCCAAACCACUGGAGUAACUAUUGCUCAUAUACCUUUUAGUACAUCUAUAUUUAUUAGUACGAAAAAAUGAAAGGAAAAUAAUAAAUAAUAAAACUAUUUGUGAUUGUGUUCCUACCAUUCACGCCCAGACCUUUACUCCAUGCCUUCACUGAAGGUCAUAAUCCCAGAAUUUUUUUUUCUUUCAGUUUGUUUAUCCUCCUCUUCUUUUUCUUCUUUUUCCUUCAAAUCAAACUAUCAAAGAAAUCACGCUGCAAAUUCCGACCGGGAGGAUGAAGGGUGAGACGGCUUCUUCGUCGUCGGGGAAGCUAAGGAGCUUAAGGAUUGUUUCUGACGAUUCUUGAGCUUGGCAGAAGAGGGGUUUGAUAGGAAAUUCGGCAUCGAUGCGAUGGCGGAACUUCUCUGCUUUUGAGGAGCUUUGUGGCUGGAUUGGUGGGGUGGGGGGGGGGGGGGGGGGGGGAUUUGGGGGUUUGGGGUUUUCAAUGAAUUGGCUUGGUGGUCGACGGCGAUUCGGAGGUUGAAAUUGAUGGGGUGGCAUCCUCGAGGCUGCGUUCGAGGCCGGGAUCAGAGGGGUGAGGCGGAGGGACUAGGUCGUGGUCGCCUAAAGUUUAUUUUAUUUUAUUUUUUUUCCCUAGUCUCUUUAUUUCAAAAUGUCUGUUUUGUCCUUCUUAUGGGUCAUCCUGUCUGGUCCACAUCAGCAGAUGAUGUCAUGUUCGGAGUCAAAUUCAAAAUUUUAGACCACAUUGAUAUAAUUGUGAAAGUACAAGAACUGACGUGAUAAAAAAAAAUCAAGACCAAACUGAUUUUCGAACAAAAAAUUUGAGGGAGUAAACUGAAUUUAAUCCUUAAAUCAAUCAGUCUUAAUUAAUCGAUUUAAUUAUGACCGAUAAAGUAUUUCACUAAUUUGAUUAAAUUCCGACUUCAUUUUUAAUAAUCGAUUUGAUUUGAUUGAUGUCUGAUUAUCGAUUAAUGUUUAAUAUUUGAUUUUAAUUAGGAUUGAUGAUUUUGUUGUCGACCGACCAUUCACACGCCGCCACGUGACAUUUUCGAAGACUUUUCAACUUUACUGACUCACGAGCCACGUAUGCAAUUUGUCAGACCCCUGAGUUGUAUGAAUAAUUUCCGAAGACUUUUCGAUAAUCGAUUUGAUUUGAUUGAUAUCUGAUUAUUGAUUGACAUUUAAUAUUUGAUUUUAGUCGGGAUUGAUGAUUUUAUUGUCGACCGACCAUUCACACGCCGUCACGUGUCAUUUCCGAAAACUUUUCAACUUUGCUGACUCACGAGCCACAUAUGCAAUUUUUCGGGCCCCUGGGUUGUAUGAAUAAUUUAAUUGCUUCAGUUCUAUAUAUACCGCGUCCCACAUGUUUCAUCAAGUGUCAGAUAAUACAGAACCUACUUCGCCAAAAUGAAGAAAAUUGAGGUCAGUAUAAAUUCCAAACACACCAUCAAACCAUCAUCUUCCUCUACACCACUACAGCCUUACAAGCUUACCCUCCUGGACCAGCUCACUCCUCCAACGUAUGUCCCUAUGGUAUUCUUCUACCCCAUUACUGACCAUGUCUUCAAUCUUCCUCAAACCCUAGCAGACUUAAGACAAGCCCUUUCCGAGACUCUCACUUUGUACUAUCCACUCUCUGGAAGGGUCAAAAACAACCUAUACAUCGAUGAUUUUGAAGAGGGUAUCCCAUACCUUGAGGCUCGAGUGAAUUGUGACAUGACUGAUUUUCUAAGGCUUCGGAAAAUCGAGUGCCUAAAUGAGUUUGUUCCAAUAAAAACAUUUAGUAUGGAAGCAAUAUCUGAUGAGCGUUACCCCUUGCUUGGAGUUCAAGUCAACAUUUUGGACUCUGGAAUAGCAAUCGGUGUCUUCAUCUCUCACAAGCUCAUCGAUGGAAGAACGGCAUACUGUUUUCUCAAGUCCUGGGGUGCUGUUUUUCGAGGGUGUCGUGAAGAUGUCAUACAUCCUAGUCUCUCUGAAGCAGCAUUGCUUUUCCCACCGAGAGAUGACUUGCCUGAAAAGUAUGCCGGUCAGAUGGAAGGGUUAUGGUUUGCCGGAAAGAAUGUUGCUACAAGGAGAUUUGUAUUUGGUGCGAAAGUCAUAUCUUCAAUUCAAGAUGAAGCGAAGAGCGAGUCCGUGCCCAAGCCAUCACGAGUUCAGGCCGUCACUGGUUUUCUCUGGAAACAUCUAAUCGCUGCUUCUCGGGCACUAACAUCAGGUAAAAUCAGUUUAUCAACAAGCCAAAUAAUAAAGCCUAAUGUAUUUGGGGUACUUAUUUAUAUAUUUUUAUUACGUAUAUCUAGUGUACUGUGUACAUAGCUCAAAGAAUGAGAAAAUAUAUGAACUUGCAGGUACUACUUCAACAAAACUUUCUAUAGCAGCCCAGGCAGUGAACAUAAGAUCACGGAUGAACAUGGAGACGGUGUUGGAUAAUGCCACUGGAAACUUGAUGUGGUGGGCACCGGCCAUACUACAGCCAAGUCAUACAACACCAGAGAUUAGUGAUCUUAAGCUGUGUGACUUGGUUAACUUGCUCAAUGGAUCUGUCAAACAAUGUAACGGUGAUUACUUUGAGACUUUCAAGGGUAAAGAGGGAUAUGGAAGAAUGUGUGAGUAUCUAGAUUUUCAGAGGACUAUGAGUUCUAUGGAACCAGCACCAGAGAUUUAUUUAUUCUCGAGCUGGACUAAUUUUUUCAAUGCACUUGAUUUUGGAUGGGGGAGGACAUCAUGGAUUGGAGUUACGGGAAAAAUUGAAUCUGCAUUUUGCAAUUCCACAAUGUUGGUUCCAACACAAUGCGAUAAUGGAAUUGAAGCAUGGGUGAAUCUAGAAGAAGAGAAAAUGGCUAUGCUAGAACAAGAUCCCCAGUUUCUAGCGGUAGCAUCUCCAAACCCCCCAAUUUCAAGGUGUUGAUUAAAAAAGAUUAUGUGGCUCGUGCAAUGUUUCGAUUUUGUAGUGAAUAAGGUUUAAAUUAGUUCACCAGCCAAUCAAUAAGAUGCAAGUAUGAUAGACUCUGUCUACGUAUGUUAUCCGAAUGUGUUUUCGAUAUGCUUGUAACCAAUAUAGCUCUUGUUUGUAAUAAUGCUCUGUUAAGCUUCUAUCUAUAAAGUUAUUUCUCUUGAUUAAAGAAAAAACUAUACAAGUUUUGUUAAGCUUUAUUCUAUUUUUAAGAUAGGAUGUAUGUAGUACCUAUAAAGAUGGUUCACCUAUUAUUAUUUUCAAAUACAUGAUUAUCCGGUACAAUUACGUAGAAUAUUUCUAUAGCUAAAAAAAUGUAAUUUUGAUCCGUGACAACAUGAUUAAAAAAUUACAUAUUCUGAUACAUUUGUUCUCUAACGACAAGCAUGGCCAUAAUGCCUCACCUGAUCAUCUAUGUGAUGGGGUAGUGUCCUUUCUUUUUAAGAGAAGGUAGGCACCUAAUGUGAAGGCCUCUACGAGAGACUAAUAUUGUCUGAUCUUCUUUUGUUCAUCAAAUUAAAGAAACGAAAAUGGCCACAAUGCCUCACUAUUGAUAGAAGAUAGAACCAUACAAUAAUUUGGAACAUAUGCAUGGAGACAAGGAAAUAUAACACAAUAAAACCAUUAUAAUUUCACUUUAUGUGGGAAACUUGGCCAAAACCGAAUCACAUCCACGUUGGCAACAAAAAGUGACUGGAAAAAAAGAGCCCCCAAAAAGCUAAAACACUAUAAAAACCAGAAAACUUGAAUAAGCGAAAAACCAAAAGUAUGACAUUUACACACACACUCUAUCUCUCUCUCAAAGUCUGAAAACUUGCGCAAUAAGGUACCUAGCUCUCUGGUCUUUUCUUUCUAAUGCAUAUAAGUCCCUGUAAAUUUUAUGGCUUUUGGAAUGAUGAUUUUAUGCUUGUGGAUCUCAGAUGGGUUUGUUUUGUUUUGGGAUUUUUAUAAAUGAAUCCAUUGAAAAUGUUGAAAGCUUAUGCCUUUGUUCCUUGGUUCACUGUUCUGGUUUUGUAAAUUGUGUGUACGAGAGUUGAAAUGUUGGUUUUGGUAAAGAGAAAUGUUCUAUAACCAUGUAAGUUAUCUUCUAAAGUUGUUCGAGUACUGCAUAGGAAAUAACGACCUAAACUGCUAGAUGCUCUGAGAAACUUAAUUAUCCGAUUCGUUGUGAUAAAUUAAUAGAACCAUCAAUAGCCGUGAUAGUCCCUUAAUAUUUGGUGGCUAAUUAGCAAUGCAUUCAUGGUAGUUGCAUGUGCUUAUUUUGUGCAGUAUUCUAAUUCUAUCACUUGCAAAAUCGUUGUGGAAGGUCAAGAGGAGAAAACUGAAAAUGGGGCAGCAUGCAUCUCAUUUUAUUUUUUUAUGCAAUAGAGCCCUAUAUAUAAAAUAAAUAAUGUAUCUAUAACCUUCUCUAAUUAAUUUACUUAGUAAUUGACGCAAUUUGGCCGAACUGUUUCUAAACACACUAAGCUUCAGUUCUAUAUAUACCACGUACCACAUGUAUGAAUUCAUCAAGUGUCUGAUAAUACUAAACCUACUUCGACAAAAUGGAGAAAAUUGAGGUCAGUAUAAUUUCCAAACACACCAUCAAACCAUCAGCUUCCACUCCACGACUUCAGCCUUACAAGCUUACCCUCCUGGACCAGCUCACUCCUGCAAUGUAUGUCCCCAUGGUAUUCUUCUACCCCAUUACUGAUCCUGUCUUCAAUCUUCCUCAAACCCUAGCUGACUUAAGACAAGCCCUUUCCGAGACUCUCACUUUGUACUAUCCACUCUCUGGAAGGGUAAAAAACAACCUAUACAUCGAUGAUUUUGAAGAGGGUGUCCCAUACCUUGAGGCUCGAGUGAAUUGUGACAUAACUGAUUUCCUAAUGCUUCGGAAAAUCGAGUGCCUAAAUGAGUUUGUUCCAAUAAAAACAUUUAGUAUGGAAGCAAUAUCUGAUGAGCGUUACCCUUUGCUUGGAGUUCAAGUCAACAUUUUCGACUCUGGAAUAGCAAUCGGUGUCUCCGGCUCUCACAAGCUCAUUGAUGGAAGAACGGCAGACUGUUUUCUCAAGUCCUGGGGUGCUGUUUUUCGAGGGUGUCGUGAAGAUAUCAUACAUCCUUGUCUCUCUGAAGCAGCAUUGCUUUUCCCACCGAGAGAUGACCUGCCUGAAAAGUAUAUAGCUUUGAUGGAAGGGUUACGGUUUGCCGGAAAAAAAGUUUCUACGAGGAGAUUCGUAUUUGAUGCGAAAACCAUAUCUGCAAUUCAAGAUGAAGCGAAGAGCGAGUCCGUGCCCAAGCCAUCACGAGUUCAGGCCGUCACUGGUUUUCUCUGGAAACAUCUAAUCGUUGCUUCUCGGGCACUAACAUCAGGUAAAAUUAGUUUAUCAACAAGCCAAAUAAUAAAGCCUAAUGUAUUUGGGGUACUUAUUUAUAUAUUUUUAUUACGUAUAGCUAGUGUACUGUGUACAUAGCUCAAAGAAUGAGAAAAUAUAUGAACUUGCAGGUACUACUUCAACAAAACUUUCUAUAGCAGCCCAGGCAGUGAACAUAAGAUCACGGAUGAACAUGGAGACGGUGUUGGAUAAUGCCACUGGAAACUUGAUGUGGUGGGCACCGGCCAUACUAGAGCUAAGUCAUACAACACCAGAGAUUAGUGAUCUUAAGCUGUGUGACUUGGUUAACUUGCUCAAUGGAUCUGUCAAACAAUGUAACGAUGAUUACUUUGAGACUUUCAAGGGUAAAGAGGGAUAUGAAAGCAUGUGUGAGUAUCUAGAUUUUCAGAGGAUUAUGAGUUCUAUAGAACCAACACCAGAGAUUUAUACAUUCUCGAGCUGGACCAGUUUUUUCAACCAACUUGAUUUUGGAUGGGGGAGGUCAUCUUGGAUUGGAGUUACAGGAAAAAUUGAAUCUGCAUAUUGCAAUUCCACAGUGUUGGUUCCAACACAAUGCGAUACUGGAAUUGAAGCGUGGGUAAGUCUAGAAGAAGAGAAAAUGGCUACGCUAAAACAAGAUCCCCAGUUUCUAGCGGCAGCAUCUCCAAACCCCCCAGUUUCAAGGUGUUGAUUAAAAAAGAUUAUGUGGCUCGUGCAAUGUUUCUAUUUUGCAGUGAAUAAGGUUUAAAUUAGUUCACCCGUCGAUCAAUAAGAUGCAAGUAUGAUAGAUAUGUUAUUCGAAUGUGUUUCGAUAUGGUUGUAACCAAUUAAUAUAGCUCUUGUUUGUAACAAUGCUCUAUUAAGCUUCUAUCUAUAAAGUUAUUUCUCUAUUAAAAAAAAAACUAUGGAAGUGUUACCAAGCUUUGUUCUGUUUCAAAGGUAAGAUGCAUAUACUACCCGAAAAUAAUGUUCACCUAUCAUAAUUCUUCCACAUGAAAACCCGGUAAGAAUCACAUAAAAUAUUUCUAAUACUUUAGAAUCUAAUUUGGGUUUGUGACAACAUAAUUGAAGAGGUACAUAUUCUGAUACAUUCGUUAUUUAACGACAAGCAUGUACAUAAUACCUAACCUAGGAGGAGGGUGUACGUAGUGUUCUCUCUCCUUAAGAAGGCCUGCCUUUCGCGAAGGCCUCUUUCAAAGGACUGAUAUAAUAUAAUCUUCUUCUUUUUUUAAUCAAAAGAAACGAAAAUGGCUUCAUUGUUCAUAAUUUGGAAUAUAUGGUGGAUUGUACGGUGUUGUUUUGAGGGAGCUUCUCUCUCGGGUCAAGGGUUUCCAAUGGAUUUGUGCAAUGAGAUUUGAUUGGCAACAGUUAUUCGGGCAUCAACGCUCCAAUUUAGCACUCCUCAGUCCUCACUACCUCAUUGUUGUUGACGAUGGCGAUGACGACAUUAGCGAGCAUGGGUGAUGUGUGUGGCAUAUUUGUUUGUAUUGUUGCAUUAUUGCUUUCGGAUGUAAGGGCUUCGCCCUAUAGAUUAGCGAGCAAUUGGUCUCCUCUCAUUCUUUCUACCUUGAUCGAGUUGGAGAUCCAUGCACUUUAUUUGUAGUACUUUUUUUGGCCUCGCGUUUGCAAGCUUUGAAAUUCCCGUGAUUAAGGAAUUAUUCAUUUUUUACAAAAAAAAAGAAGAAGAUUUUUUCCUGAAAAAUAACACAACAACCAUCAUAAUUUCACUUUAUGUGGGAAAUUUAGCCAAAUCCGAAUCACAUCCACGUCGGCAACAGAGAGUGACUUGAAAGAAGUGCACCCAGAAAGCUAAAAAACCAUAAAAACUAGAAAACUUGAAUAAGGAAAAACUAAAGUAUGACAUUCCAAUCUAUUGUUUUAUGGUUUUUGAAGGAUUCAAAUUUGUCAACCACUUUUUACUUGACCACCUUAAUGACCACUAUCUAGAUUGGUGAUACGUGUCUUUUCAAAUUAUUUUACUUUAUUGUUUUAUUGUUGAUAAAAAAAAUAAACAUGUGUCACCAAUCUAAAUAGUGGUCAUUGAGAUGAUCAAGUAAAAGUGGUUGACAAAUUUGAAUCCAUUUCUUAUUGCGGUUUUGUUCUGCCAAAUCCAAAUCCCAUGACCCAAUCAUUUACACUCCCUCUCAAUCUCUGCAAAACUGACUGCUUCCCUUGAAAACGUGCGCAAUAAGGUACCUAGCUCUCUGCCCUUUUCCUUGUAAUGCAUUCAAGUCCCUGUAAAUUUUGUGGUUUUUGGUAAUGAUUUUAUGCUUGUGGAUCUCAAAUGGGUUUGGGUUUGUUUUGUUUUGGGAUUUUUAUAAAUGAAUGCAUUGGAAAUGUUAAAGCUUAUGCGUUUGUUCCAUGAUUCAGUGUUCUGCAAUUUGUGCCUUCUCUUCCGGAUCUGAUGUACGUGAUGUUCUAGCUAGUUGUCUUUUGGAUUGAAAAGAUAUUAUCUUUUGAUUGUUUUUGAUAGAACAUCAACAUCAAUCAUCAAUGAGAUGAAUCUGAAGUAGGUUAUUAGUUUGGAGAUAUGUUAAUGGUUAAUGAAUCAAGCUGAAGUUGUUCUGGUUAUUGGAGCAAUAGGUUCCAUACUGAAGCAUCUAAUUUUGAAUUUGCAAAGAGUGGUUGACGAGUUAUCCUUGGGAUUGGCGGGUGACAUUGAAAAAGUCUUGGUUUUGUGUAUAAGAGUUGAAAUGUGAUUUCUUUACUGUUACCAUGAUGUGGGUUCUACUAAAAGACUCGUUCUUGAAUCUGGGGUCAUGUCCUGUGAUGACUCAAUUCUUGCAAAACACAACUGAGAUGUGUCAAAAUGGGUUCGGGAGCGUCUUUAUAUAUCGAAGUAUCAUGAGUUUCGAUACUAAGUGAGGGUGCUGGAUAGAAUUGAGUUUGGAGGUUCAAUGCUUCAAAAACAAAGAAGCUAGAGGGAACGUAAUUCUUGAUGAUUCAAGACGGAUCAAUGACCUUGUAAUUAAGUUGCUUAUGUGCAAUUGUUGAGCUUAUGGUGUUUCCAGUUUGGAUACGGAUAGCUAUUUCUGUUUUCAGUAUAACCACCAUGUGUUGCAUCCUCUUACUCUUCAUCUUCAUUUACCUAUCUUUGAUCUGAUGUUCCAUUGGCAGAGCUCCCUUAUGCUAAACUGUAAAACCUGCAUUCCAGGUGGUCAUUCUGUUAGAACUUUGGAAGGUCUCGGAAAGGAAACACUCGUCGACAAAUUUUGGGAGCAGUUGCAUAAAAGGAAUGGUCUCCCAACUCGGAGAUAAUGGAGACGCGUACUGGAAAUUCCCGUCCCAAUAAAAAGCAAUCGUCGGAGAAGUCUAAAUCUGCCACUGAAGAGAAAAGGCCUGCAGAAAAGAAGCAAACACUUCUGUGUUUGUCAACUAUGGUAAGUUCAUUAGAUAGUAAGUACUGAGUUUUCUAACAUCGGUGUAACACCAUGCAACUAACUCAGUACUGUAGAAUAGACAUCUAUGUUAGUCUCUUUAGAUAAUAUGCACACUUUAACUUUUCAAAUGACGUCCUGCAUUAGUUAGUCAACUGUUCAAAAUCUCGUAGGUUACAAUUUUCCCAUCUCCAAAACCAAGUGUCCAUAAUCUUUUUCCCUCUUUGUUCACUAAACUAGUAAACUCCUCGUUUAGAUUAAUGUUCUAAAUCUUUUAGUUUUUGUUCCAUCUUGACAUAACUUGUGGCUCAUUACCUACGUUGCAUGGAAUCGGAAGCGGAAACGUGGAAGCGAAGCGUUUGGAAGCGCGGAAGCGAUUUUUUUGAAAAUAAUUUGGAAGCGAAAGCGUUUUAGAAAUGUGAGAAUCAAAAUAAUAUAUACAAAUAACAAAUAUAUAUCACCUAAUUUUAAUUUCAUUCAUUUAUUUUAAUCGUUAAUUUUAAUAAGUUGUACAAAUUAGUUUGAUUGUUUAGCAGAUAACAACUCAUUCUUAAAAAAAAAAGAUAUCACUAAACCUUAUAAAAAUAAACUUCUUCACUAAAAAAAAGUCCACCAUGAAAUAUUGAAAGCACACGUCUCUCUAAUCUCUACACCUUUUAAUCUUCUUUCUUCACCUCUCUAUGCUCUCUCACCCUCCAGGUUGCCGUCAUCUUCUUUAACUUCAUUCUCUCUCACUCCUCUCCCUCCCUCCAGUUUCAAAUCCUUUCUUAACAGGUCCUCAAGCAGAAGAUCUGAUUGAUUAUAGAUUUCGAAAGAGAUAGAGAGAAGAUUGAUGUGCCGCUGAAUCAGUUCUCGUGCAGUGGACCAUCGCGCUUCCAAAUCAAAAUCGUGAGCUUCCAUAUUGGAAGCAUGCGCUUCCGUCGUGCUUCCAAAACCCUCUUUUCCCGGAAUCACGAUUCCGGGCGCUUCCGAGCGCUUCCACGGCGUUUCCGCUUCGCUUCCGCUUCGGAAGCGGGCGAGUGGCCCGGCGCUUCCGUGCUUCCUAGCUCAUUACUGCCCUGUAAACCAACUACGGCCGAGUUGUACCAAAAGGAAAUUCGGCCUCUCAUCAAUGAGUAAAGGUUUUUUUUUUUUUUUUCUUCCUUUUGUGGGGGAAGAAGAAGUAUGCAAUAAUUUUGGAAGUAACAUAUCCCCUAUCACCAUUCCUUGCAACAAGCAAUUACUUCUGGCAUUUUGUGGUUGAUGUUGAUCAUUUUGUAACUUUUGUUCUUUCAUGAUAAUAAAGCUAAUUUCUCAUGUAGCUGCAAUUGCUUGGCAUGAGAGUAGAAGAAAGUGGAUAGGGGAUCAGCGGCUGCAAAGAAUGGCCAAGGAUCCAAUUAUAAGGUAUUUUUUCCUCACAAAGGUUCCUGGAUAGAAUGGGGUUAGCAAGUCAUGGUUAAAGAGUUGCACCUUAAAGUUUAAUAACAAAAGAAAAGUUGGAGAGCAUAACUGCCAUAACUUAUAUUCUUUGUAGGUACAAAUGAACUCAUUAACACUGGUGUGUCAGUUUUUAGGAAAUUACACUUAUAUUUGAGUAUCUGUCACUCUGUCCACUACUUGCACCCUGACUUGCUGAUCUGUAAAUCCUAGAUUUUUCAAAAUUGCUCCUUUAGUCCUUUUGUUUGGUGUGUGUCCAUAUUAGUAGCUUUGUCCAUUUAUGCUGUUAAAUUGUAGCUGCUAUAUGAAUGUCAGGAAGUUAAAUGUGAAAACUAUAUGCUGCAUAUUAUAGCACCAUUGUAAUGAUUGAUGAUAUUAGUGUCUUUGUCCAAUUAUUUUCUGUUCAAUUAUUGCUACUUCUUGAAGAUAAUGUGGAAAGUUUAUGUUUCAGCUGGUCAACAGCCUAUGAGGAUCUACUCUCAACCAAUGAGUGUUUUUCUGAGCCGAUCCCCUUAACUGUAAGUCGAUCAUAUAAUAGCACAUACCUGUCCAAUAAAUAUCUUCUGAUAAGUCAUAUAUCUCUAUUACUUGUGUUUAUUUGACAUUGGAAAUAUUUUCUAAAGUUUGAUGUUUUUAUAAAAUUGGUUUUAAGCAUGUUUUCAUACUGGAGCUCCACUUUAUGUUUUCAAAAGUCAUGGGUAGUUUUCUUGAGCAGCGAGGACGAAAACUCAUCCCUACAACAGUUUGUGGAUGCAUGUAUUGUGCACUGGGACAAGAUAAUGGCGAGGAGUUGGGUGUGCAUGUUUGUGAUCGGUAAUUUAUUUUCUAUGCUUACAUGUUUAUUUUUAGACUCAAGUUACAUGUUUAAAUUGUAUUCUGUUGGCCUUGUUAUAAUCUCAUCCGUGAUUCUAUUAAUGAAGCUUGUUAAUUACUGGCCAUUCCUUAUAUCAAGUUUUAUACGAACAUAAGAGUCUAAUCCUGAUAUGAUUUUGUCUUGUGAGACUCUCAUUGCAAUUUGUAUUCUUUUGAGUUCAUUAUUUCUUAACGUUUAUUGUGUUAGGUUUUAGACGAAUGACUUUACCUUAAGCAAAUUAAAUAUUUUUCUUUUACAUACACCUCAAAUAGUUUUACGCUUCCGUGGUGUUUGCUUAAAUGAUUUCUUAAAUAAACUGUCUUGCGUUUCUCUUGGUUUUUAUUUUAGAGACAUGCGGCACUGUGACGUGUCUAAACUAAGGAGGCGUAGUUUGGGGCGUUACAGAUUUAAUCUUUACACACUAUGAGAAUAUCAAAAUAUCACGAUAUUUGUGCAAAACUCACGAAAUCUUGUUAUUAAAUCAGCCGAAGUCAUCAUAUAUAGUCAUUAACUCGGGCCAAACUUAUAAAAUUAACACUAAAGUCUUGGCGCAGCUAACAUGAUUUGAACCCAGGUUGCCACAUGUUUGUAACAUCCUGAAAUUUCAAAUUUUUAUUUUUAAAAGGAAAGUUAUUUUUAUUUCGAUUUCUAUUAUUCUUUUAAAUUCUUUAUAGUUUUUGAAAAUUAUUCAAAUUUUGUUUUUGGAGCCCAUCGGAUUAAACUAGAGGCCGUGAUGAAUUUGUGGGAUUUUUCGGAACACCGUUUGGAUAUCGGAUAUAUUUUUAAUGAUUUUUAGAAGUUGGUAUUAUCUAAAAAUUUAAUUAAAAAUAGAAAAUCAAGGUCGGUCAAAUUUGGUCCGUCCAGAUUAUAUGGGUAUGGAUCAACUUGGACUUCAUUAUACCCAGUCCCAGACCGACUCCGUCUCCAGCCUCUAUCAGCGACGGAGACCUCCGGUCACUCCUCCGUUGUCCGGCCGUCUCCCGCCGCAAAACGACUGUCUACAGCUCUGUCUCGACGUCCCCGACCUCCCUGGGAUUCCAGCUUGAUGAGUGGAGCUCCGGAAAAGGAGGAGAGAAGGCGACUGUGUUUCCGAUCGGGUUUCCGAUUCCGGUGACGGCGGCGAGCGUGAAUGGUACUGGAAGCAUCCUCUCGUCCUCGUGGUCUUCCCUAUGUCCUCAGUUUCUUCAGAAGAGGUCGGGAGAGAGAGAUUCGAAGUGGAGAAGGAGAGGCUGGGUUCGCCGGCGAGUUUCCGAUUCCGGCCAAGUCGAGGUUUCUCACUGGUAUGAAUAGCUUCAUGUCGGUCUCGGGAACCUUUCCAUGUUGGUGGUUUUCGAAGAGAAGCUCGGAGGAGGGAGAAUCGAAGAGGAGAAGUUUCUGAAUUUUCCGGCGAGGGUUCGACGGAUUCCGGUGAAGCUUGAUGUCGACUCAGGUAUUAAAGUUGGUCUAUUCGAUGAGCUUUACAUGUUUCUAUAAUUGAAAUUGAGAUUGGUUGGGUGUUGGAGAAGUGGGAUUUUGGACAGGUUGUCGACCACCGUGUACGGCGGCGGCGGCGGUUGUUCUUGUAGUUUCUGGCUUUUGUUAAUACAUUGAUUGUGGAGGAGUGUUUUGAGAUGUAUUAGAAUUGCAGGAACAUGAGAAUUGUAUGAAGUUGGGUUUUGAGCAGUGUGGUGUGUGGCCACUGUUCACGGCGGCUAUGGUGGUGUUUUGAAAUCAGAAGACUUGUGUGAGGGAGAGGUUGAAGAUGUGUAUUAUGUUUGGUAUGAGUGUUCAUUCAAUUGGCUUUGGUAUUUGAGAGCAGGGUGCUACGAAUAUCUUGGUUUUGUGAUCAAAGUUGAAGUAAAGCAUAUAUGUUUGUAUGGUUGUGAGAUAUGGUGGUAACUGCAGCAAUGGAUAGUUGAUCAAGGUUCACAUGAUCUUGGAACAAAUGUCCAGUCGAUAACUUUAAGAUGUAAUUGGUAUUGCUAUGCUUGAACAAUUGUGUUUCGGUGGAUUGAAGAUUUGCCGGAAGGUGUGUAGUAAGAUGGGUGUCCAAAGUAAUUGAUGGAGACUGGUGUGUUCUCUUUUGAAUUAUUGUUAGAGAAAGAUGAUUAGAGGAGUUGGGUGUAAUGAACGUUAAGUUGGCUUUGCUGGGUUGUUGUGGAGUCUUAAGAGCAGUAUGGGUACGGGAACAGAAGAAUUGGAUUUUCAUUACUUUCAUAUGGAUUUGAUGUGUUGCUGGGGAGUAGGAAACAGUAAAGGAUUUAGGUUUGGUCAUGUCUGGGUUCGUUGAUAAGUUGUUAUGCCUACAAUUAAGACAUGAGAAGAUUGAUCAAGUUUGAGAUAGGCAAAUAUAAAGGAUUUAGUAGAAAAGAGGAAUUGGGUGUAGAGAGUAAAUUCGGUGCUUAGCUUGGUGCUUGGAGCAUGGUUGGGAUACGACUAAUUAUGGGUGGCGUGUGAUUUGGUAAUUGUCGGAAAAGGUGAGCGGAAUUGGAAAUAAAGAUUUUGAUCGUUUCUAAUUAAAGUGUUUGCCGACUUUAUUGGAACAAGGAUUUGAUGUGAGGGAGCAUGUUGCAAUCCGAGGAGCAGAAUGAUAAGGAUUUCAAAAUGCGUGCCGCGGUGUUAUUAAUUUUAGUAAGCGUCGGAGUCAAGGCUUGGAUUCCAGGUAGGGUCUCUCUCAGGGAACUUUUCUUUAAAUUGAUAAUUAGGUUAUUGUUGAAAUCGGUGCAUUGUGUGGCAUUGGUUGAUAUAACUCUUGGUUGUUAUCGAUUUUGUUAAAAGCAUGUGAUAUCGUUGAUUUAUAUGAAAUUAAUGUUAUUGCUUUCCGUAAAAGCAUGAGUUGAAUGUUAUGAUAUGAGUAUUGAUAUUCAAUUGACAUGCAUAAUGCAUUGUGAGGAAUUGUGAGAAGUGAGAUUGGUGAUUCUGGAGAUGAGAAAGAGAUUGAUAGAAUAGAUACAUUUUGUGUAGUUGAGUUUCCUCAUGGGUUGUCCAAGAUCCAGGGUAGUCCACACGUGCAUAAGUUCAGGGAAUGUAUGCCAUUUCGAUGGCGGACAUCGACAAAACAAUUUUAUCGGGUUUCGGGUUUGGAGACCAUGAGUAUAACAAGAUGAUUAACAAUAGAGGUACAAGCCAUAAGAUAUUACUGAUUAUUAGAUCAUAUAUUUGAGACAUUUGUGUCACCCCCGGUUGGUAAAAUACACGGUAUGGGACGUGUAGGCUCACAUAUCUUUGAUGUAUGGACUGAUAGCCAGUAAUUGAGGAAGACAUUCAUUAGCAUACAUGUAUCAAAUUGUCGUUAUUUAUUUAAAGUAUUAUUUGAUGUUUGAUAACUUGUUUGUGCGAUGUAGUUAAUUAUAACUUAAAAAGGUUUGGCUCUUUGGCCCUACUAAGCGUAAGCUCACCCCUAUAAACUUUUGUUCAGGUACGUUUGAGGACACGUUUUUCUAGAAGCGUAACUGUGAAGUUUAGCUGACGUGUACGAGAGUAGAAGAGUUACAGAAGAUUAGAAGUCAGAUAGAUCGUAAGGGCUUAUCUUUUUGUCUUUGUAAUUGUUUUUUGUUAUUGUAAACGUUUUAUUUUCUUUUAUUUCUGGAAAAGUAUUUGAAAUUGUUUUAUUUUCUUUUACUUUUCCCGCUCAUGUCUCGGGUACGGCGUCAGGUGCUUGGAAACCACCGACACCGGGUCCGGGGUUUGAUGUAUGGACUAGCCAGUAAUUGAGGAAGACAUUCAUUAGCAUACAUGUAUCAAAUUGUCGUUAUUUAUUUAAAGUAUUAUUUGAUGUUUGAUCACUUGUUUGUGCGAUGUAGUUAAGUAUAACCUAAAAAGGUUUGGCUCUACUGAGUGUAAGCUCAUCCCUAUAGAUUUUUGUUUAGGUACGUUUGAGGAUACGUAUUUCUAGAAGCGUAACUGUGAAGUUUAGCUGACGUGUACGAGAGUAAAAGAGUUACGGAAGAUUAGAAGUCAGAUAGAUUGUAAGGGCUCAUCUUUUUGUCUUUGUAAUUGUUUUUUGUUAUUGUAAACGUUUUAUUUUCUUUUAUUUCUGGAAAAGUAUUUGAAAUUGUUUUAUUUUCUUUUAUUUUUUCCGCUCACGUCUUGGGUACGGCAUCAGGUGCUUGGAAAUCACCGACACCGGAUCCGGGGUGUGACAAUGGUAUAUCUCACAUUCUCAACCAAUCCUCCUAAGGUGAUACUUGAUUACUACAUUGAACAUUUUAUUAUAAACUCUACAUAUAUUUUCAUACUUUUAAAAUUUCUUUUCGAAAUUUUAUUAAUAUUGAUAUUUUCUAAUAUUUUUAUCAAAAUAUCUAUUUUUCAGAUAGUCAAAAUUUUCUUGAAACGUGAUAUUUUUGUAAUAUAUCGAAAUUUCAAAUUUUUAUUUUUAAAAGAAAAAUUAUUUCCGAGCUAUUUUUAUUUCGAUUUCUAUUAUUUCUUUCAAUUCUUUGUAGCUUUCGAAAAUUAUUUCAAUUUUUAGUUUGUCAAAAUUUAUCUUUUGAGUCCAUAGGAUUAACGGAAGCGUUUUCGGACAUCGGAGCUAUUUUUAAUAAUUUUUAGAAGUUAAUAUCGUCUAAAAAAAAAAUAUUUUUAAACCCGCUUGAUCUGGACCGUUGGAUCAUUUAAACCGCAAGAUCUGGGCUGGGGGAGACUGGAUCAGAUCAGUUCAGACCCAGACUGGGUCAGCCUCGAUCCAAAUAGCAGCGACGGGUGACCGGACUGCCGCUUUGUCCUCCAGCGACGGCGUGGGGAAAUCAUGGCAGCUUCGGCUUCGUCUCGGUCGCCUGAUCCUAUCUGUGGUCUCGAUUUCGUCGAUGGAGCUUCGAUGAGAGAGAAUCGAAGAAGGGUAGCUUUUUCUGGGUUUGUCGACGAGUUUACUAUUUCAGCCACGGCGGCGAGCAUGAUCGGUCUUGGUAGCUUCACCUCGACCUGUUGAACAUUUCUUUGAAGAGAAGGUCGGAGGAGGGAGAAUCGAAGAGAAGAAGUUUUUAGGUUUUAGGCAGUGUUCUUGGUGUUUUCCGGCGACCUCGGACUUCAAUUCAGGUAUCAAAGUUGGUCGACUCGUCAAGCCCUACAUCUCUAUAUAAUUGGUUUUCAUUUUUGAUUAAGUUUUGAAGAAUCGAAGUUUUGGGGUUUUACUGUGCAAUUUGAGUUUUCCUGUUUGUGUGGUGAUUUUGGUUGCCUUGGGGCGUUCUUCGAUUGGAAUUGACUUUAUGAAGUUGAUUUGAUGAUCUUAAGCCCUUGAAUUACAUAAUUGGAAAAGUUGGGUUUUGGGGCAGUGUUGUUCGGCGAUGGAAGUGGUGGUUGAUGGUUCUGGGUUUGGUUUAUGUUUUAGAUGAAAUUACAAGAGCAUUAGAACUUAAUUAUGUUGUUGUGUCGCCUGGAUUCCAUAAACGGAGAAGUUGAGUGUAAGAAAAUUAGAGUUAUGCAAUUUGGAAUUGAGCUAAGAUUGGAGUAGAUGAUAGUAUCGGGUUUUCUGCUGAUUUUGGUUUAUUGUUUGUGGUGGUGACUGCAGUAUUCUUGUUCCAUUUCCAAUCAUAUGAAAGUGCAGGAACAUGAAUUUGGAUGCUUGAUUGGUAAAAGAUGAGUUUUGGGUGGUAGGAAAUGGAGCUGUGUUAUUGGAAUAGGGAGGGGAAGAUGGUUGUGUAUAGUACUAAUACUGAACUUGGCGGAGUUGAAGGAUGCAACUAAGAACUGUUGAUUUGCGAUAUGGAACUAGGAGCUUGAUUUCAAAUGGAGAAAGUGAGUAUUGGCAAGUGCAGGAGUAGGACAACUUGAGAAGUAUAAAUUGGCUAAAGAGCUUAUGGGUGUCCUUAUCAAUUUCAAAGACUGGAUUGCAUCGACUUGAAAUCAUCAGAGUGAAUAAAUGCGGAUUAAGGAACUCAUCUGGGUGUCUUAGUAGAUUUAUGAAUUCGGUCCGGUUGACUUAAAGUGACUUAAAUUUGGCUUAAAGUGAGUUUUGCGGAUUAAGGAUUCAGGGUGUCCUUAGUAAUUUUAAGAACAUGAUCAAUUUUGGAAAUUGAUUUAGUUUAUUUGAGGUUCGACGGCUUUCUCGGUAAGGAAUUGUGACGAGGAUCGAGUGACUAUCGACUUUUUCAGAAGCAGAAGGAUAAAGAUUUCAGAAUGCGUGUCGCUGAGUUAUUAGUUUUAAUUAGCGUCAGAACUAGCGCUCGGAUUUCAGGUAUGGUCUUUCUUGGGGAACCUUUUUUUAAAUUGAUAAUUAGAUUGUUAUUGAAAUUGGUGAAUUGUUUGUCAUUGAGUGAUUAACUCUUGGAUGUUACUGCUUUCUAUAAAAGCAUGUGUAAUCGUUGAGUUAUAUGAUUGUUAUUAUCGCUUUUCUUAAAAAGUAUGUGUUGGAUGAUAUAAUAUGAGUAUUGUUAUUCGUUGCAUACAUAAUGCAUUUUGAAGAAUUAUGAGAUUAGUGAGAUUGGUGAUUAUGGAGAGGUGAGAACGAGAUCAAAAUAUACAUUUUGUACAGUUGAGUUUCCUUAUGGGUUGUCCAUAAAUCUAUGUCAUCCCACUUGCGCAAAUGAGUGGGCAAAGUAUACUCCUUCGAUGGCGGACAUCAAUAAAACGAUCUUUCGGGUUUCGGUUUUGGAGAGUAUGAGUAUAACAAGAUGACUAACAAAAGAGGUACAGGUGAUGAGAUAUUACUGAUUGUUAGAUCAUAUAUUCGAGACAUCUGAGUCACCCAUGGUUGGUAAAAUACACUGUAUGAGACGUGUAACUGAGGAAGACAUUCAUUAGCAUAUAUGCAUCUAAUUAUCGUUAUAUAUUUAAAGUAUUGUUUGAUACUUGAUAACUUGAUUGUGUGACGACAUAGUUAAAUGUAACUAAAGAGGUUUGGCCCUACUAAGCGUGAGCUCAUCCCUAUAUACUCUUAUUCAGGUUCAUACAAGGACACAUAUUUGUAGAAGACUAACUGUGACGUUUAGUUGACGUGAACGAGAGUCGAGAAGGACUACCGAAGUUUCUAGUGAGCUAAACAACAAGACUAGUUUUACCUUUAUAGUGAGCUAGACUGCAAGACUUGUUUUGUCUUUAUAAUCGGUUUUGUUUUUUGUAAUCGUUUUAUUUUCGACUAUUUCGAGAAAAAUAUUUAAAAUUAUUUUAUUUUCUUUUAUUUUUCCCGCUCACGCCUCGGAUUCGGUGUUAAGUGUUUGGAAACCACCGACACCGGGUCAGGGGUGUGACAAUUUUAGUCCUUGGUUUGAUGCCUAAGCUACUUCGCUCCUCCAAACUGGGCCGGUGUUGGAUCAAACAAACAGAAACUUGAAAGAAGGAGUCCGAUACAAGUCAUACAACUACGUUGGUCGGAGCGGAUUUUACGCAUCAAGGUGCCCUUGCACCAUUAAUCUGUAAGUUUUUAAAUCUUCGUAUGCAAAGAUUUAAUGAAGACUAGAGACCUUAAAUUCUUUUCUUUCAUUUUUAUUUUUGACCUGAUCAAAUUAAACGCCAAUAAUUAGAGUACCUCUUAUUCAAUCUCAUGUCCUCAUCUCUUGUGUUGAAAACACUUUUGAUUAUUUUUUUGAGUUUUAAUUUUGUUAAUGGUAUUAAAAUACAUGCAUGAUAAUGCGACAUAGAUGAUCGGAUCAAAACAUUGCGUAUUAAUUGCUCGAUUCACUUGUAGAAGAAUUUUCGAGCUUCGGGCCAAUAUUCCAUUUUUCUUUUUAAUAAAAAAUUCUAGCAGCUAGACAGCUAGUUAACCAAUUGUGAAGCUACACAACUGGGACUUGCAGCGGAAAACAACUACCACGCGUUGCAUGGAGAGGUUAGGUCCUGCAUGCAACUCCGCCGCCCGUAAAUCUCCUACUGACAGCUCUACCCCUCGAUUUGCAGAUACUGAUGUAAAACCCGAGGACAAAACGGUAAUCGUUGAUACUCCGAGCCAGACAUAAAACUAUCCAAGAACAAAGAGGAGACACCACAGGAAAAAUGACCGGACCGCCUCUACCUCGACCCUUUCUAACGUGCUUGGUUGGUGUAGCAGUCUUAACCUGCGCACUAACCUUCUGUGUUGCCCUAGAUGUCACCCCCCAAGACCCAAUCAUCCACCAAGUCACAGACCAUGAUACUAACAAGCUCCUUGGAACCGAGAAAGAGUUCAAGAGUUUCAUGGAGAAGUAUGAGAAGAAGUACCCUACUAGGAAGGAGUACAUGCACCGGCUAGUUGUUUUUUCCAAGAACAUGAUCAGAUCCGCCGAGCACCAAGCUCUGGAUCCGACGGCGGUUCACGGCGUCACGCCGUUCUCGGAUCUGGAGGAGGAGGAGUUCGAGAGGAUGUACACCAUUCCUCGAAAAGUUAAAGUAAUCUUUUUUAGAAAUCGAAUGGAUUCGGUCUUAUACAUACGCAAGGAAGGUAAUAAAAAAAAAGAAAGAUGAGUUCUUUUAUCACUUAGGAGCUGUGCGAGAUAAAAGUCUCAUGCACGGUUUUGAAUGAGAGAAAGAAGUGAGGAAUCCUUUUUUCGACACUGACUCUCCCACUCCAGUUGUUGCUUUUUUUUUCUUUUUUUUCUGUUACUUCAAAAGUCGUUGCUUCAGUUUCAGCCACUCGAAUUUUCGAUGUUCUUUUUUAUUUCUCAUCAAACGAAUGGCAUUUUCUUCCUAUUACUCAAACAAGCAUGAAACGUAUGCUUGCGUAUUCGUCCAUAGGUCAAAUUGGAUAUGUAAUUAUUGGAAUAAUUGUUGGAGACUCAAAUGGUGGAUAUGUAAGCAUGAUAACUUAUAUGUUGUUCUAUAUCUCUAUGAAUCUAGGAACUUUUGUUUGCAUUAUAUCAUUUGGUUAGAGGUGCGCCCGGCUUAACCAACGGCGGAGGCGGUACGGGGAGCACGGUUGAGCUUCUGGAUGUUAGCGGGUUGCCUGAGAGUUUUGAUUGGAGAGAGAAAAAGGAGCUGUUACUGAGGUCAAGAUGCAGGUAGUUUCUAAUUUUCGUUUUAUUUCUGAUUUUUUAGGUUGGACACACAAUAUAUGUGAUUAACAGUUUCGGCCGUACUUAAAUCCUAGCUUUUUGCAAAUCAAGUUAUGGCACAUACGAUAUAGAAGUCUCGUAGCUGGUUGUAAAUUACUAAAUUGUGUAAUCUGAAGUCGAUCAGCUGAUCAGGUGCUGCUGGUUCUUUUGUUUAAUUGAUUGUAUAACUAGCUUGACUUUGAGAGUUUGAAGUUUUGUACAGAAAGAUUUGUCUAAUAGAGCUAGGGUGUUUGUGGAACAUGGAAUUAUUCUUCAGGCAAGGAGUUGUAUUGUGAUACUUAAAGCCUCUAAAUCUCUUGUUAUGGAUGCAGGGUGGCUGUGGGUCGUGCUGGACCUUUAGCACAACGGGAGCUAUUGAAGGAGCCAAUUUCAUUGCCACUGGGAAGCUUGUUAGUCUCAGUGAACAGCAGCUUGUUGACUGUGAUCACCAGGUAAUUAAGCCUAGCCUCUCUGGAAUAUAUUGAAGUACUCAUUUAACUUUAGGGCGAUAAAAAUUUAAUUGAUUGAGCAUAUAUAUAAUAUUUGGCAUGCCUACUUAAUUAGUUUCGUUUAAUGUUUGUGGCAACUAUAAUCAAGUGUGAUGCAAAAGAGAAAGAUGCAUGUGAUCGUGGUUGUGGUGGCGGACUUAUGACAAAUGCCUACAAGUAUCUAAUGGAAGCAGGAGGGUUGCAAGACGAGGUUUCAUACCCUUAUACGGGGAAAAAGGGCGAAUGCAAAUUUAAUCCUGAAAAAGUAGCCGUGAGAGUAACCAAUUUCACCACUAUUCCCCUUGAUGAGAAUCAGAUUGCAGCGAACUUGGUCCACAAUGGUCCUCUUGCCAGUGAGUACUAAACCUGAUAAUAUGCUUAAAAAUAGCUAGGCUUUUUAUGUAUCUAUGUGUGCGUACAUAGAACUGCCUUAAGUGUCUUAUUUUCUGAAUAUGAUGUGCACUGUUUAGCAUAUUUAGAUCUGAGUGUAGAUACACCCCACUGAUACAGAAUCUUAAUUGAUGUAUGUAUGCGCAGUUGGCUUGAAUGCUAUGUUCAUGCAAACCUACAUUGGCGGUGUGUCAUGCCCUCUUGUUUGUUUCAAGAAAUGGGUGAACCACGGUGGUUCACUUGUUGGAUAUGGUGAGAGUGGCUUCUCGAUUCUCAGGCUCAGCAACAAGCCGUAUUGGAUCAUCAAGAAUUCAUGGAGCGCAAAAUGGGGAGAACAUGGUUAUUACCGACUUUGCCGAGGCCAUGGCAUGUGUGGGAUGAAUACCAUGGUGUCUGCAGUUGUGACCAGUACGCGGGCAUCCUAGCUGCAUCUCCCGAGAUUAGCUAGUAUAUAAUUAUACACUAUAAUAUUAUAUGCACCUCUCCCUUGUUUUUUCUUAAUCCGAAUUUGAUGUUCCUAUAAUCAUAUUUCAACAAUAUUAUUGUUAAUAUGCCGAAGUGGAAAGUCUUGUUUACGUCAAAACCAAUUCGAACUAUAUUUUGUUAGCUUUAAAUGCUAGAUUGUCAGACUUCAAAUUUAAGUCGGAAAAAUUUUACAAUAUGUUAAUGCAUGUUAUGCAUCAAUUUUAUCCUAAAAUUGUAAAAUGAGUCUCUAAAGUAGUAAUAUUAGUCCUUGAAGUUGUAAUAUAUACGAGUAGUUGUAAAUUUUAAAGUUACAACAUUAGUUAUCAUGUGUCCUUAAAGUAAAUUUUACAGUUACAACAUUAGUCAUUGUGUCUUUAAAGUGAUAAAAUGCGUGCUUAAAGUGGUAAUUGAAUCCUCAAAGUGAUUGAAAAAGUUUUUAUAUCUUUGAGGAUUUGUAUUACAACUUUGAGGAUUUGUAUUACAACUUUGAGGACUCAGUUACCUCUUUAAGGACACAUAAGGAUUAAUAUUGUAACUAAUUUUUUUACAACUUUAAAGACUUAUAUUACAACUUUAAGGACUAGCUAAUAUUACUACCGUAAGACUCGAUCAUUUUAUAACUUAAGAGCAAAGUUGAUACAUCACAUGCAUUUUUUUUUUAUUGGUUAAUGAUCGAGGAUAGGCGAAUAAUCACCUAUCACUCUAUGUUAUUAAUAAAAGAAAAAAGAAACAAAGGAGGGGGAUCAAAACCAAAACAUCCUAAAACAAAUGACAGACUAGCUGAAACGAAAUUGAGGCAUACCUCUAACAUCGUUAUUAUAAGACAAUAAUAUGAAAGGUGGAGGCUCAUCCCACCAUAUCAAUUCAGAGCAUGACGUACCUUGAUUUGCCAGAGCAUCAGCUAUCUUAUUCCCUUCACGAAAAAUAUGAGUAGCCUUGAAAUUCAUUUUAGAGAUUCGGUAUAAGCAAUUCAACCAACGAACUCGAAGAGGCCAAGGAACAAGAGAAGGUCUGCGAAUAUAAUCAAGUACCAAAGAUGAGUCAACUUCCAACCAAAUAUGCUUCCAAUCACGAACCCAAGCAAGCUCAAUAGCUUUAAUAACAGCCAUUAUCUCCGUUGAAAUUGAACUAGGAAUUUCAAGAUUAGAGGCAAAAAGCACCUAGAAAGUGGCCCUUGUAAUCUCUAAAAAUAGCACCAUAACCACCCACUCCCUCUUCAUGCUUCCAAGAGCCAUCAGAAUUUAUCUUCACCCACCCAAGAGAAGGAGGAAUCCAAUUAACUUCAACCACUCUAGGAGUGGCACGAGGUCGACAUGGGGCUCCAAAACAUUUCAAAAUUCGUAGCUCCUGGACACUGUUAUGCAUAUGACCCGUUGUAAGAUGACUAGUGGCUCUUAUAUGACUUGAUAUUAGCUUGCAAACAACUUCAACUGAAAAGCGACAACCAUCAAAUCUGGUUUUAUUUCUCACAUGCCAAACAAACCACAAAAUGGAGGUAAAGCAAAUAAGCCAUAAUUCCAUUAAUUGAGGACUUCUUCCAUUCUGCAAACCCAACCCAUAAAGCUCCAAAAUAGAAGAAGGAAUCAUACCUAACUCAAAAAUAGAGCCAAAGUGACAGAAGAGACGCCAACGGCACCAACACCCAAAGCCAAAGGUAAAGUGUUCGUCAAAGGACUCCACAAUUCCAAGAAUGCUUUCCAUGUGCUCGUGCAAUAAUGGUAAGGAUAUCGAGAGACGCCAACGGCACCAAAUAUUCCAGCUUGAUUCAAUACGCCUUCAAAAUUGGCUAAUAUGAAUUCUGUCCACUCCAUUACGCCUAUCUCAAGUGUAGCACAACCCCGGAAACAAAGGCUCGAAGACCAAUCUUGUUUGGUGUUUAGCAUCCUGUGAAGUAUCGGGUAAAAAUUCUCUUCGAAAGUGAAAAGACCUCCAUCAUGUCUGUUAUCAACCUUCUCCAAAGUAUGCCCCUUAAAUACAUGGGAAAAGUUGUGGGUUGUUCUUAUCACUUGAUCCUCCAAAUCUUGGCGAAAUGUAAGAAAGCCUGAGUUCAUUUCAACUUCUGUCACCAAGGUAAUGAUGUCUUUAGGAGGGACAUCAACAUGAAUGGAGCUUAAAGGCUGUGAUCUCACGUACUCUAUGCCCUUUCCAACAACCUGCCUGUGUUUGUCCAAAGCUGCCUCGCGGGAAAUUCGACCAUAUGCAUCCAUUACCUGAGAUUAUAGCACGCAGAGAUGUUAAAAGCAAGCAAUAGCAAGUCAAGCUUUGCGCGAGAAAAGCAAGUUCCACGUACAAAGCUUGAGGGGGCACUGUUGAUACCAAAAAAAAAGGAUUACAGAAAAGGAAAAAAAUAAAUAAAAUAAAUAAAUGGAAGAGUAUUUAUUCAUGUCAUACUCUUCCGUUGGUUUUGAUUACACGCACAAAGCUUUUGAGUUCAAUUACAACUCUUGCAAGCAGGUGCUUGGAUAAGAACAAAUCAGUACGAGCACCAGAGUUUGAUUGUAACUCAAUUAUCCUAACCAAGCACUCUAUAUAAAGAGGCCAAUACCUUCAAAAAAAAAAAAAAAANAANNNNNNNNNNNNNNNNNNNNAACACCAACGGGAGGAGGCAGGCGGGCAACAAGGAGGAUCACAAAGGAGCGGUUCAUUCUUUACAAGGUUCGGAUGGAGAGUUCUCUUUCUCUUUGCGCAGCUCUCUUUAUGUUCUGUUGAUGGAGGCAUCACUGCCUUCAUAUUCCUCGCAGAUGGCCUCUGGUGUUCUUGGUUACUAUUGUUCCUGGUCACCCAAAUCCCUUGCGGAUCGAUCUGGUUAUUAUAGUUACUGUGUUCUGUUGGUUACUUGGUUACUACUGUGUUCUCUUGGUUACUUGGUUACUCAAAUCCCUUGUGGAUCGUUCCUGGUUACUCGUUACUUGGUUACACAAAUCCCUUGCGGAUCGUUCCUGGUUACUUGUUACCCUAAACAUUGGUUACUGGAUACUAUGGUUACUGGAGACUAAUGGCUACUAUGGCAAUGGUUCUAUGUUACAAUGGUUAUAUGACACUAUGGUUACUAUGAUUCUGGUUCUAUGGCUACUGUAGCACUAUGGUUACAAUAUGGUUCUGGUUCUUUGGGUACUUUGACACUGGUUACUAUAACAGAUCGGUUGCCCUUUGAUCCUACAAAACCAAACACAAAACCAAUACUCAAAAUUCCACCACAAAAGGCCAUUGUUGUCCCUGUUCCCUGUUAACCACCACAGCCAAAUACCUUUCCAAAUUCCAUGUUUCAAGCACCAACUCAAAUACUGUGCAAUGAAACUAAAAGAGACAAUAACAGAGGCUUACCCUCAAACUAUGACAAUCGAUCUAUUCCGAUACUACAACUACUACCUGUGUUUCAUACCUUCAUGCUGUAGCAGGAAUGGUGAUGAUAUUGCAAAAAGAGAACAGCAAGUUCCUGUCAAGUUAACCUCACAAAAACAUCCGAGCAAAGAGAGUCAUUGAUUCUUUGGCUCUGUCCCUUUAAAAAAAACAAAGGGGGCUCGGUGAGUUUUCUCAUGAUUCUUCUCCAAUAUCACAAGAUGACAAGAAUCAAGCUUGGCGGUGACCCUCCCAAACAGAGAAGGCUUACUCAAACAUAAAUAUGCAUUCACCACCAUGGAGUAAAACAAAAGAAGCAAACUUAAUUAAACAAGUUUUGUUUCUGGAAGUUCCAAGGCAGCGAGCCGAAUACACCCACAGUCAAAUAAAUUGGAGCUAAGAAGUUUAGAGUCUCAAAGCAAAAGACGUGUUCUUCCUCAAAUUAAAGCCUGCAAAUUGAAGCCUGCAGCAAAAUUAACCUACUCGAAGCUAAGCUCAUCCAUUCGACGCUAAGCUAAUCUACUCGAAGUUAAGGAAGCGAAGGAUAAUUAAUUUUGCCAUUGAAGAAUUGUAACAAAGCACCUAUCCAACACAAGGCAGUAACCAAAUUGAACGCUACCUGUGAAGAAACAAGCUUUUGACCAGUGGGAAAUCCUUCGAAAUUACUCUGAAGCAUAAUGGAGAUACUUUCGUCAUGAGGGUAUUUGAAUUGUAGGGAUGAAAGCAGGAACACAAUAGGGGUUAUCCUUACCCAAUUUCGCACAGUGAGAAAGAGCACAGCAAAUCUCAAGCCUCCCAGUGUUGAUAAAUUUCUUCUCGGCGACUUAGGAGCACUGCCAUCACCAAGUCGGUUGCUGCGCCAACCCCUCUCCAUUUGAUCAGUUUCGGCCUUCAAGUUCUUCUGGGUUACAAUAAACAAGGCAGCAGAAGAUCAAAAGAAAGAAAAGAAAUGAAGAAUGGGGAGAGGGAAAGCUAACGGGCCUCCACAUUGACGGAUGCUACUCACAAGCAAGGCCCAUGUCAAAUUUGGGCCCAUCUGAAAAGUUCAACGAGGCUCAAUAUAUGGGUGUUCAAAUCAAAAUACCCAAACUUCGGUUUCGUUUAAAAAUUCUUCGGAACCCGAAUGAAGUUGCGUUUGGUACAAAACCAAGAAAUACUCAAAUACCCAAAUUUUUGAACUACAAUGGUUUGAUCCCUUCACAGGGUAUGUAGGCAGUCCAGAUUUAAAUCUGGAUAUAACCACAUUUAAAGCCAAAUCGUUGGUUCUUUCCAAGCCAAAUUCUAAAACACAUAACCAAACCUUUCGACAAGUCAUCUACUUCGUCGAAACCCCAAAAGCCAUAAAACUUGAACUACGAGUGACUUGAUCCCUUAUGGGGUACGUAGGCAGCCUGUAAAACAAAUCGGGUGCAGUCGCAAUUCCCCUCGAACACACAUUCCCCAUUUGUUACUUUGUAAUUAGAAUCAAAGGGUCUUCCCCCGAAAGCAAGGGUUGUAAUUAAGAAAUUUAUUUUAUUUCGAAUGGGUCGAACCAGACAUAAUUAAAACUCUAUUUUAAUCAAUGAGAUAGAGUGAAAUUGUGUUGGGUAUAUUUAUUUACAAUUUUUGCUCAACAUAGUUUUUGGCGACUUCACUGGGGACUCUCAACUGGUCAUCAGACAAAUAAAUGACGAGUAUGCAGUCAAAAAUGAGAACCUUAUAUCAUACUACCAAAGAGUUAAAUAUCUCCUGGGACAAUUUCGAGAGAUAUAUGUUGGCCACAUUCCAAGAUCAGAGAAUGAUAAAGCAGACGCAUUGGCUAACUUGGCAGCUUCUUUAGUACUUCCUGAAGAGAAAGACAUCCAAAUAACAGUUGGAGAACGUCGAUUGCAGUCCUACGUCACUUGAACGAAUGGAAGCUACCAAUGAAACAAAUGUAGUUUCUGUGUUCGAAACUGAGGAAGAAUCUGAUUGGCUCAAAUUGAUGCAGUGAACGAGCAAGAGAGGAAAGUAUGAUUCAAAGUCUCCGAGCAAACACCACAAAGCUCACAUCUAGAAACCCAAGGAAUACCUCGACGCUGAAGUAAAACAUCAGAAAUAACUCUACCUCUUAACACCUUCCAUGCUAGGAAAGACAUUCUUGGCAGAAUAUAUUUAGCCCAUAAUCUCUUACCCCAAAUUACUGGAUUAGAAGAAUGCCGCAUAAAAGUAUAGGCUUGUUUUGCGGUUAACUCAUCGGAGGCUGAAGAGGUCCAUAUAAGUUUGUCAUUAACUGAAGGAUCUUCUGACACAGGGACUUGAUUGAUCAUACCACAUAAGGCUGGGUAGUGCAACUGUAGUAAUGGAGGAAGAUUCCAUGAACCAUUGUCUAUAUAUUUUGACACCAAAUCCGAGUUAUCCUGCAUCAACACAUUAGAACCAAAGAACUCAUUUAUUGGCCUACCCAUAAACUUGUCGCGCCAAAAGUAAAUUCCAUUCCCAGAACCAAUGAACCAUUGAGAAUUAUCUUGAACAGUCUUCCAGAAUUGACGAACACCAGGCCAUAUAGAAGAAGGAGCAUAAGAUUUCCGUCUAGAGAAACGAUUGCGAAUAAAAGCACAACCCUCAGAUUGAGCUGUAUAGAUUUCCCAGCAACGUUUCAAUAAGAGAGAUCGAUUAAGCAGAACUAGUUGUUUGAGCCCCAAGCCACCUUCUGCAAUUGGGGAACAACAAGACUUCCAAGCCACAAGAGGGAUCCCUCUUUUAUCAAUUGAGCCAGACCACAGAAAGUUUCGGCACCAUACCUCAAUUUUUCGCACCACAGACACAGGCCAUUCAUAUACUUGAAAAAUGUAUACCAACAUGCUAAAAAUAACAGACUUGAUAAGCUGCAAACGUCCUGCCAUUGACAAAAAAGAACUCACCCAACUCGAUAACUUUAUCCUUAUUUUGUCAACAAUCUGAUGGAAAUAAGAAGCACGAGGUUUGCCAUGAAAAAUAAGGGCACCCAGAUACAUGAAUGGAGCAGACCCCAAGGGAAUACCCAAGAAGUUCGAAAUAGAAUGCCGCCUUGAAUGUAUACUAUUUCCAAUAAAAACCUGAGACUUCCCUUUGUUGAUAACUUGACCUGAAACUCUACCAUACUCAUCGAAGAACCGCAUAAUCCGCGAUAAAUUCCGCCUAUUGCCCCGAAAAAAAACAAUAACAUCAUCUGCAAAUAGGACAUGAGAUGGAGCAAGAGUAUUUCGUGGAGAAGAGAUACGCUGCAGUUGUCCCGAUGAAACAAGUAAAGAGAUCCCACGACUAAGGACUUCUUCUGCUAAGCAAAAGAGCAAGGGAGAAAGAGGGUCACCUUGACGCACACCCCUUUCACAAGAAAAAUACCCCACAGUCCUCCCAUUAAUCAACAGAGAAAGCUUGGCUGACAGAAGCAAGGCACGCACCCAUUGUACAAAGAUCGGAUCAAACCCAAAAGCCUGAAGAACAUGAAGAAGAAAAUCCCAUGACAGAGUAUCAAACGCCUUUGUAAUAUCAACCUUAAUUGCAAGGUUACCCCCCAUGACAUUUUGAGUUCAACAAAUUAAAGCACUCUGAAGUAGUUAAUAUACAGUCUGAUAUGUUCCUCCCUGCAACAAAAGCAUGCUGUUGAGGAGAAAUAAUACGAGAUGCCACUGAUGCCAACCGGAUAGCUAUGAUCUUUGGGAUAAUUUUAAACACAAAGUUGGUGAGGGCAAUAGGCGAAACUGCUUUAUGGAGUCGGCAUGAUCAACUUUGGGGAUUAAGAUGAUAAUACCUGAGUUAAAGGAAGGAGCCAAAUAACCAUGUUGAAAAAAUACUGAACAGCCUUAACAACAUCAGCACCAACAACAUCCCAGCAAGAGACGAAAAAAUGGCCAUUAAAUCCAUCUGGCCCCGGGGCACUAUCAGGAUCCAUUGAUUUGACAGCUGCCCAAAUUUCCUCUGAUAAUGGAACACUAGUAAGCAUCGUAUUUUCCUCAGGAGUUACCAUAGAGUGAAUCACUUUGGACACCAAGCCACUAUCUUCAUACUCUGCAUGUUUAGUAAAAAGAUUUUUGUAAUAAUCAACUAUAUGAUUUUGGAUAUAAUGAGGAUCCUGAAGCACCUGAUCUCCAUCACGAAGCAGAGUAAUAGAAGAACGAUUUCGGCGCACUUUACACAAAGCAUGAAAAUAAGAAGAAUUACGAUCACCUUCUGAUAACCAUCGCAACCUUGACUUCUCACGCCAAAGAAUUUCCUGAUGCAGAAUAGACUCAUUCAAAAUGGCCUGCAAUUCAGUCUCUUUUUCAAACUCUUCAUCUGAUCCCCCAGAAGCUGCAAUUUUAUUUUGAAUAUCAGCAAGGGCUGCAAGGUCAAACUCAACCCGACGGUGAACAUCCCCAAAGACCUCCCAGUUCCAAGUACGGAGAGAUUUCCUUAAGGUACGCAGCUUAUAUUGCAGGACAGAAUAAGGACAACCAAACGAAGUAGUAGAGGACCAACAUCCUUUGACAAAACUCAUAAAAUCCUUAUGCUCCAACCACAUUUUUCUAAACCGAAAGAGACUAAAACGAGACCCUGUAAACUUAGAAAAGGACAUUAGUAGUGGAUUAUGAUCAGAGCAAGUUCUGGGUAAGGUGCAACAGUCAAACUGAUCCCAUUCCUCCAUCCAAUUCAAAUUAGCAAGACUUCUAUCUAAUCUUAGCUCCACAUUACCACGAAAACCACGCCGUCUCACCCAUGUAAACUCUGCCUCUUUAGUAUCUACAUGAAUAAGUUCACAAACAUCUGACAUUGUCUGAAAUUCCUCACAUGAUCGCCGACAUAGAGGAGCACCUCCUUUCUUUUCAUGAGCACCAAGAACUGCGUUAAAAUCUCCAAAAACCAACCAUGGUCCUGUAACAAAACGACCUUUGAAAUCAGUAAUAUCUUCCCAUAACUUCCGGUGGCCAGAGAUUGUGGUACGAGCGUAGACAGCUGUAAGAAAACAGUUUACCGAAUCAAACAUAACUUGUAAAGAAACCUGCUGAUCCGAGGUAGACAACACCCGAAUCCAUGGAGCCAGAGAAGUCUUACAAAAAACCCAUAGAUUAGGUAAUGCAGAACCCCGGUCAUUUGCACCAACAAAUCGCAUGCCUAACGAACGCCAAAAGAAUAGAGGAAUUGAAGUCAAGGCAACGAAAGGCUCAGCUAUACAUAAAACUUCCAGGUUGUGAACCCGUACAAACUGUUUCAAAGCAUCUUGAGUGGGGACAUUAGCAAUGCCCCGUAUGUUCCAAUAAAGAACCCUCAUUUAGGAGUGUCUUUGGAGCGACGGAGAUAGGCUUCCCUAUUCUCCUUCGAAGCAGCCUUCCUCUUUUGAGACCUGGACAUAACAACAGUAAAACCAUCAUCAAUGUCAACUCGUUCUGUCUCCUCAUACCAGCUAUCAAUUCGAGUUACUGAAUUUGCAGCAACAGCAACCCCAAUGUCAGAAGACUGCUCAUGCAUACUACCACCGGCAGAGUCAUCUUCACUAUUCUGCUCGUUCUGAUCAAUUGCAUACCUAGUAUCAUCUUCUUGCUCAACCACAUUACCAUGGAUAGCUACUGGUACCAAAACCACAUUCACCCCCGGCUCAACCACUUCUUGGACAGGUGCCACCACUUCCACUAGCGGUUCCGGCACAACACUAGAUAUCACUAGUUGGCCGACCGGUGCUGGAGACUUCUGCACAAAGGAAGGACCCUCACCAAAAUCUUCCCUGGGGUUUGGAGUUGAAUCAAUAAUCAUGCUCUUACCUCGAUCUGCUGGAUUAGAUGGGUUUUUAGGCACAUACACUUUGGAGACUCGUUGCUGAUCACGGUUCCUGCGAGAUCGUCUACUACGCUUGCGCGAUCGACCUCUGCCUUUCUCAGUCUCAUUAUCCAUUGGAACCGGGUCAGAAGAUCUAUGCACAUACUUGCAAGCUGUGACAAGGUGCCCAACGUUGCCACAAUGAGCACAAAUAUGUGGAAGCUUCUCAUAAUCCACAGUCUGAACAAAAGACGAACCGCACUUACGCUUGACAACCAAUUCAUGCGGUGGAUCAACAGAGAGAUCAAUAUCAACCAAUAUUCUAGCAAAUAGGGUUCUAGGUUCCCAAAACUCAAGCCCUAGAUCCUAAAACCUCACCCACACCUGAGCAUUAGUAUUACGUUGAUUCGCUGGGGAGAAAUUUGGAACCCAUCGCAUGAAACGCAAGAAGCCAGGCUUGAGAGCAAUUGCACCCUUUACCCAGACUGUAGAGAGAUCCUCAUCCGUAGAGAAGCUAAACGUGAAAUAACCUUUUCCCAUGGGAAUAAUCUUCCAAGCCCCUAGACUUCCCCAAAGAAGAGAAAGCUUAUGAGACAGAUCUGAUGCAGAGUAGGGUUUAUCCCUCAAACCCAAUUGCACCCUUCCGAUUAACAUAUGUUUACAAUUAUCCAAACCCGAUUGAUAGCCCUCUUCUGAAAUAGUAACAGUUGUCUUGCCAUCUAAAAUCUCAGGAAUAGGUAGAUCAUCAAUUGGGAUGAAAGCUUGCGCCGCCGCCGCCGCAUAAGAUUUCGUCGGCUUCGCAGCCCCCUCGUCGAGAAAAGACCACGGGCAGAAGGGACGAUGCUGAACAGCCAUGACGUCGUGAAGCAAACGGAACUCGAAUUCAAGGAUUUACUGCAGGGAGGCUCCAGCACGGGGAAACCCUAGCAGAGCCAUCACCAACAUAAUGUAACUCGAUGCAUCACAUCCAUUAACACACUAUAGUCUUACCUUUUAAGUUGAGUCAAUGCAAGAGUUGCACUAUUUAGACCAUUUGGUUCUUCCGAAAAUAUGUAUUAUAUUUUUGAGAAUUUCAACGUCUGUAGUAGAGUCGACGAGGAUUUUAGAUUUGAUUUCGUCGAUGGCGUUGUCGAGCUAUUGCGUCAAUAGGAUGAUGAAGAGCAACCGGAAUCACCUCUCUUCUGACGCAAUUUGUUUUUCAAAGAUCUGGUCCGUUGCACUGGCCGGUCGAAGCCUUUUCAGUUCUCAAAACAGUUCAGAAACUACAGGUCUGAUAAUGAAAUGCAUAAAACAUUUAUAACUAUUGGUAAUUUAUAUCCUAGAGUUGUUCGAGUGUACUAACCACAGGAAAUAACGAUCUAGCUAGACUACCUUAUUUUCGUUAGGGCUGCUCUAAUUAGUCAACAUAUGCAGCUAGGUGAUGAUAAACUUACCCAAUUCGUUGUGAAAAUAAUUGAACCAUCAGUAGCCGUGAUAGUCCUUACGUACCUGCCCUUUCAUGAGCCUUAAUAUUUGGUGGCUUAUUAGCUACGCACUAAUGGUAGUUAAUUGUGCUUAUUUUGUGCAUGUGUGUUCUAAUACAAUUACCUACCUAGUUCUAAUUGUUCUAAUUCGUCGUGGAAUGUUUUCAGAGGAGAAAACUGAAUGGGGUAGCAUAGAGCCCUAUUACAAAAUAAUGUAUCUAUAACCUUCUCUAAUUUACAUAGUAAUUGACGCAAUUUGGCCGAACUGUUUCUGAACACACUGCUUCAGUUCUUUAUAAACCACGUACCAUAUGUAUGUAUUCAAGUGUCAGAUAUACUGAACCUACAUCGCCAAAAUGGAGAGAAUUCAGGUCAGUAUAAUUUCCAAACACACCGUCAAACCAUCAGCUUCCUCUUCACUACUUCGGGAUUGUCUAUGGUACAGCGCUGUAUGCCAUACAUCCUCUAACAGGACUUGUGUGCACGUGCCUUGCAGUGGGGGUGGGUGUUUUGUUUUGAAAUUUUUAGCCUUGAAAGCAGGCUGCAUAUCAUGCAGGGCUGCAGAUAGAAUUUUCCCUGAAUAUCACGCAUAUCAGCGCUGCAUGAUAUGUAUGAUUGUCUAUGGUACAACGCUGCAUAUCAUGCAGCGCUGCAUUAAAGCAGACUGCAUAUCAUGCAACGCUGCAGGAUAUGCAGCCUGCUUUCAAGGCUAAAAAUUUCAAAAUAAAACACCCCCACCUGCAAGGCACGUGCGACACAAGUCCUGUUAGAGGAUGUAUGGCAUACAACGCUGUACCAUAGACAAUCCCACUACCCUACUUCAGCCUUACAAGCUUACCCUGCUCGACCAGCUCACUCCUCCAUCGUAUGUCCCCAUGGUAUUCUUCUACCCCAUUACUGGCCCUGCAGUCUUCAAUCUUCAAACCCUAGCUGACUUAAGACAUGCCCUUUCCGAGACUCUCACUUUGUACUAUCCACUCUCUGGAAGGGUCAAAAACAACCUAUACAUCGAUGAUUUUGAAGCCGGUAUCCCAUACCUUGAGGCCCGAGUGAAAUGUGACAUGACUCAUUUUCUAAGGCUUCCAAAAAUCGAGUGCCUAAAUGAGUUUGUUCCAAUAAAACCAUAUAGUAUGGAAGCAAUAUCUGAUGAGCUUUACCCCUUGCUUGGAGUUCAAGUCAACAUUUUCGAUUCUGGGAUAGCAAUAGGUGUCUCCGUCUGUCACAAGCUCAUCGAUGGCCGAACGUCAUACUGUUUUCUCAAGUCCUGGGGUGCUGUUUUUCGUGGGUGUCGUGAUGAAAUCAUACAUCCUAAUCUCUCUCAAGCAGCAUUGCUUUUCCCACCGAGAGAUGACCUGCCUGAAAAGUAUAUAGCUUUGAUGGAAGGGUGGUCGAUUGCCGUAAAGAAAGUUGCUACAAGGAGAUUUGUAUUUGGUGCGAAAGCCAUAUCUGCAAUUCAAGAUGAAGCGAAGAGCGAGUCCGUGCCCAAGCCAUCACGAGUUCAGGCCGUCUCUGGUUUUCUCUUGAAACAUCUUCUCUCUGCUUCUCGGGCAUCAUCAUCAGGUAAAUCAGUUUAUGUGUCUUCUUAAAAGUGCACCACAUGCAAUUGCGUGAUUGGCAAAGGAGGGCUAGGCGUGAUUAAUUAAGCUAGAGAAGACAAGGUUUUUCCAUUAAUUGUUAGUGAGGCUUGCUCAAAUGCGAGCGUACAAGAGUUUUCAGUAGCUUUAUUUCUGCUGCUUAGGUUAUACCGGAUUUGUUUUGUAAGUUAGAAAAAUACAACUUAUUGGAUAUUGUUAUAAGCAUCUAAUUAAUGAUAUGAAUGAAAAAGAAAAAAGAUCGUACACUUAACAUUUUUCUGCUAUUAUUUCAUACUUAUUUUAUAUUUUUGUAUUACAUAUACUGUACAUAGCUUAAAAAUGAGAAAAUAUAUGAACUUUUGCAGGUACUACUUCAACAAAACUUUCUAUAGCAGCUCAGGUAGUGAACUUAAGAUCACAGAUGAACAUGGAGACAACGUUGGGUAAUGCCAUUGGAAACCUGAUGUGGUGGGCUCCGGCCAUACUAGAGUUAAAUCAUAAAGCACGAGAGAGCAGCGAUCCUAAGCUGUGUGACUUGGUUAUCUUGCUCAAUGAAUCUGUCAAACAAUCUAACAGUGAUUACUUCGACACUUUCAAGGGUAAAGAGGGAUAUGGAAGAAUGUGUGAGCAUCUAGAUAUGGAGGGGACUGUAAGUUCUGUAGAACCAGCACCAGAGAUAUAUUCAUUCUCGAGCUGGACUAGAUUUUUCGACCAAAUUGAUUUUGGAUGCAUGGGGGAGGUCAUCUUGGAUUGGAGUUACCGGAAAACAAUCUGCAUAUUGGAAUUCCACAGUUUUAGUACCAACACAAUGUGAUACUGGAAUUGAAGCGUGGGUGAAUCUAGAUGAAGAGAAAAUGGCUAUGCUAGAACAAGAUCCCCAGUUUCUAGCAUUAGCAUCUCCAAAGACCCUAAUUUCAAGGUAUUGAUUAUGAAAGAUUAUGUGGCUCGUGCAAUGUUUCCAUUUGCAGUGAAUAAGGAUUAAAUUAGUUCCCCGGCCAAUUAAUAAGAAGCAAGGUAUGAUAGACUAUGGCUACGUAUGUUAGUAUGUUAUCCGAAUGUGCUUCGUUAUGCUUUUAACCAAUAUAGCUCUGUUUUGUAACAAUGCUCUAUUGAGCUUCUAACUAUAGAGUUAUUUUUCUUGAUUAGAAAAAGAAACUAUGCAAGUUUUGUUUUGUUAAGCUAUUCUGUUUCUAAAAGAAAGGCUAUUCUGUUUCUAAAACGGGAUGCAUGUAUUACCUAAAAAGAUGAUUCACCUAUAAUUAUUUUUCAAGUAAAUGAUUAUUUGAUAGCAAUCACGCCGUGUAUUUCUAUAGCUAAAAUUGUAAUUUAGAUCAGUGACAACAUGAUUAAAAGUUACAUAUUCUGAUACAUUUGUUAUUUAACGACAAGUGUGGCCAUAAUGCCUCACCUAGUCACCUAAUGCGAAGACCUCUACGAGAGACUAAUGUCGUCUGAUCUUCUUUUCUUAAUCAAAAGAAACGAAAAUGGCCACAAUGCCUCACUAUUCAUAGAACCAUACAAUAAUUUGGAACAUAUGCAUGGAUGCAAAGAAAAAUAACACAAGAACCAUCAUAAUUUCACAUUAUAUGAGAAACUUAGCCAAAUCCGAAUCACAUCCAUGUUGGCCAAGAGUGACUAAAGAAGACCACCCAGAAAGCUAGAAAACCAUAAAAUCCAGAAAACUUGAAUAAGCUAGGGAAAAAACAAAAAUGUGACAUUCCAUUUCUUCUUGCGGUUUUGUUAGGCCAAAUCAAAAUCUCAAUGACCCUGCAAUCAUUUACACACACUCUUUCUCAAUCUCUGCAAAACUGACUGCUUCCCCUGAAAACUUGCGCAAUAGGGUACCUAGCUCUCUGGCCUUUUCUUUCUAAUGCACAAUUUAUGGCUUUUGGUAAUGAUGAUUUUAUGCUUGUGGAUCUCAGAUGGGUUUGUUUUGUUUUGGGAUUUUUAUAAAUGAAUGCAUUGAAAAUGUUGAAAGCUUAUGCCUUUGUUCCUUGGUUCAGUGUUCUGGUUUUGUGUACGUACGAGAGUUGAAAUGUGAUCUCUAGUAUCGGUAAAGAGAAAUGUUCUAACCAUGCUAGUGUUAGUAAUUUAUCUUCUAAAGUUGUUUGAGUACUUUACUCUCUUACUUUACUAACUAAGCAUAGGAAAUAACGACCUAAACUACCUGAUUUUCGUUAGUGCUUGUAAACACGAAAAUUCCUGUAACGAAUAACAGAAAGACAUGUGUACAAAAUAAUAUAUUUGUAUUGAUUGAAUUUGCGGGUUACAAUCUCUAUGGGUAUUCUUUUAACAAGAAUGUCCUCUGAUUCGAUCUCCGAUGUUGAUUUGAUCCAAGGGUGACAAGCACUUGAUCUUGAAUUGAACUGUUGUAGUUUGAACUUCUUAUUGUGUUGACGAUUUGUAGAAGGAAGUUGACCAAGGGCCAUAGAGGCUUGAUCUUGGUCGAAUAUGGGCCGCGAGAGGUGUCACGUGGUGAACGUUCUUCGACUUGAUAGCGGAUGAAUCGGCACGUGUGUUUGGUACUUGUUGAUUCUCCACGAGGUUGUUGAAGAACUUGGUAGAAGUUUUGAUUUGUUGAAAGACUUGAAGACGAGGGUUGAUCAAGGGCCGUAGAGGCUUGACGUUGAUCGAGUUUGGGCCGAGCAGUUCCACAUGGUGGUUGCUCUUCGUCUUGUAGUUGGUGAAGAUGUCAGCUAUUUGGCAACUUGGGACUCUUCGGGAUUUGACAACCUAUAGGCUUGAGGUUGAUGAAGAAUCAACUAUUUGGCAGCUUGAUGAUUCUUCAAGGGUUUUGGGAGAAUUCUAAACUCUCGGGAGUAAUUUUUCUCUCUUGUCUGAAAGUCGUCCUCUUGAUAUGAGAGGGGGUAUUUAUAGUGUUAAUGCUCCUCCGUAAAUGGAAUGCAUUGAAGUCACAGCUUUAAUUAUAUUUCCUUAAUGAUAUAAUUAAAUCAAUCACUUUUGAUUGAUUGAUUCAAUUAUUCAAUUUCCCAUAAUUAAAUCAAUCAGUCUUAAUUGAUCGAUUUAGUUAUGAUCGAUAAGGUAUUUCACUAAUUUGAUUAAAUUCCGACUUCCUUUUCGAUAAUUGAUUUGAUUUGAUUGAUGUUUGAUUAUCGAUUGACAUUUAAUAUUUUAUUUUAGUUGGGAUUGAUGAUUUUGUUGUCGACCGACCAUUCACACGCCGCCACGUGUUAUUUUCGAAGACUUUUCAACUUUGCUGACUCACGAGCCACGUAUGCACGAGACUUUUCAACGUCUCUAAUUUACAUAGUAAUUGACGCAAUUUGGCCGAACUGUUUCUAAACACACUAAGCUUCAGUUCUAUAUAUACCGCGUACCACAUGUUUCAUCAAGUGUCAGAUAAUACAGAACCUACUUCGCCAAAAUGGAGAAAAUUGAGGUCAGUAUAAUUUCCAAACACACCAUCAAACCAUCAACUUCCUCUUCACCACUUCAGCCUUACAAGCUUACCCUGCUCGACCAGCUCACUCCUCCAUCGUAUGUCCCCAUGGUAUUCUUCUACCCCAUUACUGGCCCUGCAGUCUUCAAUCUUCAAACCCUAGCUGACUUAAGACAUGCCCUUUCCGAGACUCUCACUUUGUACUAUCCACUCUCUGGAAGGGUCAAAAACAACCUAUACAUCGAUGAUUUUGAAGAGGGUGUCCCAUACCUUGAGGCUCGAGUGAACUGUGACAUGAAUGAUUUUCUAAGGCUUCCGAAAAUCGAGUGCCUAAAUGAGUUUGUUCCAAUAAAACCAUUUAGUAUGGAAGCAAUAUCUGAUGAGCGUUACCCUUUGCUCGGAGUUCAAGUUAACAUUUUCAACUCCGGAAUAGCAAUCGGGGUCUCCGUCUCUCACAAGCUCAUCGAUGGAAGAACUUCAGACUGUUUUCUCAAGUCGUGGUGUGCUGUUUUUCGUGGUUCUCGUGACAAAAUCAUACAUCCUAAUCUCUCUCAAGCAGCAUUGCUUUUCCCACCAAGAGAUGACUUGCCUGAAAAGUAUGCCCGUCAGAUGGAAGGGUUAUGGUUUGUCGGAAAAAAAGUUGCUACAAGGAGAUUUGUAUUUGGUGCGAAAGCCAUAUCUGUAAUUCAAGAUGAAGCAAAGAGCGAGUCCGUGCCCAAGCCAUCACGAGUUCAGGCUGUCACUAGUUUUCUCUGGAAACAUCUAAUCGCUACUUCUCGAGCACUAACAUCAGGUAUGUAAAAUCAGUUUAGCAACAAGCCAAAUACUAAAGCAACUAAAUAAAAACCUAUUGUAUUUGGGGUAGUCCCUUAUUAGCUGUUGUCCUAAACUUCUAACGAUAUGAACUUUUUUCUCAAAAGAAAAAAAUAGUACACUUAACAUUUUCUGUUAUAAUUUCAUACUUAUUUAUAUAUUUUUAUUACAUACAUAGCUCAAAGAAUGAGAAAAUAUAUGAACCUGCAGGUACUACUUCAACAAGACUUUCUAUAGCAACCCAGGUAGUGAACAUAAGAUCACGGAGGAACAUGGAGACAGUGUGGGAUAAUGCCAUUGGAAACUUGAUAUGGUUCGCUCCGGCCAUACUAGAGCUAAGUCAUACAACACUAGAGAUCAGUGAUCUUAAGCUGUGUGACUUGGUUAACUUGCUCAAUGGAUCUGUCAAACAAUGUAACGGUGAUUACUUUGAGACUUUCAUGGGUAAAGAGGGAUAUGGAAGCAUGUGCGAGUAUCUAGAUUUUCAGAGGACUAUGAGUUCUAUGGAACCAGCACCAGAGAUUUAUUUAUUCACGAGCUGGACUAAUUUUUUCAACCAACUUGAUUUUGGAUGGGGGAGGACAUCAUGGAUUGGAGUUGCAGGAAAAAUUGAAUCUGCAUUUUGCAAUCUCAUAACAUUAGUUCCAACACCAUGCGAUACUGGAAUUGAAGCGUGGGUGAAUCUAGAAGAAGAAAAAAUGGCUAUGCUAGAACAAGAUCCCCAGUUUCUAGCACUAGCAUCUCCAAAGACGCUAAUUUCAAGAUAUUGAUUAAGGAAGAUUAUGCGGCUCGUGCAAUGUUUCCAUUUUGUUGUGAUUAAGGCUUAAAUUAGUUCACCAGCCAAUCAAUAAGAUGCAAGUAUGAUAGACUCGGUCUACGUAUGUUAUCCGAAUGUGUUUCCACAUGCUUGUAACCAAUAUAGCUCUUGUUUGUAACAAUGCUCUAUUAAGCUCUUCUAUCCAUAAAGUUAUUUCUCUAUUAAAAAGAAAACUAUACAAGUUUUGUUAAGUUUUUAAGGUAAGAUGCAUGUAGUACCCAAAAAGAUGGUUGACCUGUCAUUAUUUUCAAGUACAUGAUUAUCCGAUACAAUUACAUCAAAUAUUUCUAUAGCUAAAAAGUAUGUAAUUUUGAUCCGUGACAACAUGAUUAAAAAGUUAUAUAUUAUGAUGCAUUUAUCCUCUAACGACAAGCAUGGUCAUAAUGUCUCACCUCAUCACCUCACCAAGCGCGGAUCCAGUUCACAAGUGGGUAAGGCUCAAGCCCAACCAAGAAAAUUGGGGGAAAAAAAAACCUAAGUAUAGAUAUAUAUUUUUUUGGGUGAUAUAUCAUAUAUGCCCAGCCAUCAAGUGACCAAGCCCAACCCACCUAACUCAACCCAUCCCACUAACUACCCAAGUCCACAAUCAUCACUCAUCACUCAUCCACCCAACCUCCUUCAUCGAAGGAGUCCUUUAACUAAUCAGCUUAAACACCAAGUCUAAAAGUCUUCCCUGCUCUUCCCCUCCGCCUCCACUCAGUCACUCACCUAUGACCUAUCCCGGCUAUCCGGCUAUCCCUCUUCCCCUCCAGUCCUCCACGGCUCCACCAUAAUCUCCUUCUUCCCGGCCUCCUCCGGUCCUCCGAUUCCUCCCGGAUAGCGACGACUCGCCUCCGGCGGUCCGGACCUCCGCGGCUCCGCCUCCAGUCCUCCACUCACCUAUCCCUCUUCCAGCUGCUAGAAAGCUUGUUCGAGACUUGGUCCUCCACAGACAACCCAUUAGUCCAUUACCCAUCUUUCUUCACUCUCAGCCAGCAUGGUUGUACUAGAAAUUUUUUUUUGGCCUUCGGCCAAAGUUCAAGCCCACCCCAUCUUUAAAUCAUGGAUCCGCCACUGCACCUCACCAUAGUGUCCUAUCCUCUUAGGAGAAGGUAGGCACCUAAUGCAAAGGCCUUUAUGAGAGACUAAUAUCGUCUGAUCUUCUUUUCUUAAUCAAAAGAAAUGAAAAUGGCCACAAUGCCUCACUAUUCAUAGAGCCAUACAAUACUCUGGAACAUAUGCAUGGAGACAAAGAAAAAUAACACAAGAACCAUUAUAAUUUCACUUUAUACGGGAAACUUAGCUAAAUCCGAAUCAUGGGCGGAGCCAACCCAGGUGAAAUUUUGAAGCCCAAAAAAUUACCUGAAACAUCGUCGUUUGGGUGUAGGUUAUUUCUCCGUUUACUUCUUCUCAAUCUUAGUCAUAACUCACACCAUUGCGUCCGUAGCCCGUCGUUGUCGCUAGAGCGGUCGCCAUUUCCCAUAGCCCGCGCCGUCGCCCGUAGACCACAUCCCGAGUCAGUCAGUCCCCACUUGGCUACUUCCCCAGGUAUGGCUCAAUCGGAUUGCUUAUAUUCUGAUCGUGGACAUAGCAGGCUUCAAUUCAAAAGCCAUCAUAUUCAUAUGCUUCAAUGUUGCUUUACUUCGUCUAUAACUAGAGUUUCAGCUUUGCUUCGUCUUCAAUGUUGAUAUGUUGAUAUAAAAUAUUAACUUGAUUAGGAUUUGUUGAUAUAGAAUAUUACCUUGAUUAGGAUUUGUUGUUAUGUAAUAUGUAUUAGGAUAUUUAUUACUCAUAUUAGGAUUUGUUAUAUGAUCUUACAUCCUUACGAAUGAAUAUACAUCAACACAAUCGAAAUCUGCAUGGUCAUAUUAGCCUUAACUAGUUCAGUCCAAUUCAUAUUAGUCUUAAACUAGUUCAGUCUAAUUCCUCAUGGGUAUAUGCUGAACUUUAAGAUGUUGAUCUUCUAUAAUAACUGAGUUCGAUACCAGAAAUCUUUGAUGAUUGUCCACAUAUGUUAUCUUAUAAUCCUAUAUUAAUUUGUACUAAUCUCAUAGUCUUAAUUUGAAAGCUCCUUAUACGUCUUAACUUGGAUAUGGAUGUGGAUUUGAUCUUAUUAUAUGUAAUAUUAAAGUGAAGUUGUUGUAUUACACAGAAUGUUUGAUGAAUAAAUAACAAAUUGAUCGCGUCAAAAGGCUAGAUCAAAAAAUUUCUUGCACCAUCGAACAAAUUUUCUUGUGUAUACAAUUUCAUGGUUCCGCCACAUUGGCAACAAAGAGUGAUUGGAAAAGAAGAACACCCAGAAAGAUAAAAACCAUAAAACUUGUUUAAGCGAAAAAAACAAAAGUAUGCCAUUCAUUUCUUCUUGCGGUUUUGUUAGGCCAAAAAUCAAAAUCCCAUGAUACCCAAUCAGUUACACACUCUCCCUCUCAAUCUCUACAGAACUGACUGCUUCCCCUGAAAACUUGCGCAAUAAGGUACCCAUCUCUCUGGCCUUUUCUUUGUAAUGCAUAUAAGUUCCUGUAAAUUUUAAAGCUUUUGGAAUGAUGAUUUUAUGCUUGUGGAUCUCAAGAUGAGUUUGUUUGUUUUUUUCGGGAUUUUUAUAAUGAAUGCAUUGAAAAUGUUGAAAGCUUAUGCCUUUGUUCCUUGGUUCAGUGUUUUGGUUUUGUAUACGAGAGUUGAAAUGUGAUCUCUAGCUUGACUGUUGGUAUUGGUAAAGAGAAAUGUUCUAGAAAACCAUGCUAGUAUUAGUAAGUUAUCUUCUAAAGUUGUUCGAGUACUGUACUAAGCAUAGGAAAUAACGACCUAAGCUACCUUAUUUUCGUUAGUGCUAGCUGCUAUGAGAAACUUACCCAAUUCGUUGUUAAAAAUAGGGAAAAUACCCAAAUACUCAAAAAUUAGAAAGCUAAAACCCAUUCCAAUGAAAUUAUAAUCCUUUAGCUCAUUCCUAUGUUACACCGAUACUCCACCCCACGGACACUCCAACACUCCCGACACACCGAUAUCGAUACGAUACACCAAAAUGUGUGUCCGACACGCCACGUGGCGUGUCAAAAAAAGUUGACUUUUUAGACACGUUACGUCAGCCUGAGACACGCCAAGUCAGUGUGUAUUGAUUGAAAAAAAAAAAUACAGAACUAAAAGUCUAAAACCUAAUCGAAGAGGAAGCCCACUUUAAAGAAGCCGCAUAGAAGAGGAACGAUGUCACCGUUCACUAUCACUGCGAGAACGACGUCGUCUGUCCAUGUCAGUGUGAUUGUUCCUCCGAUGACACCACUCUGCGAGAACGACGAGAACAGCGUCGCCUUUCUCUGUUACAGCGACUCGUCCUCCGUCGGCCUAAACCCUCUCUUUAGUGUAAGGUUAAUCUUAAUCUCAGCUUUGACGUGUUUGGUGAUUGCAGUCUCAUUUGCAGUAACAGAAAAGCAUAUAAGAUUUUAAUCAUUUUAUGAUCAUUCUGAUACCACUUAUAGAUUUUUAAGGCAAUGUGCUAUUGAAGCAUCUGCACUGUGAUGUUAAGUGUCAUGAUAUUGCUCAAUUGCUGAUAGGGUAGGAUGGAGCUAGACAUUUGAGACUUUGCAAAAUUGAGUUUAUACCUACUAGUAUUAGAUCAUCAAUUAGUUGAGAGUUUGUAGGAGGUCAGGUUUUAUACUUGGUGAGAAACAUCGGCUCAUCUGUAUUUGUAAGGAAGAUUUAAUUGAAAGGAGUUGUGUAUGGAUUGCUUAUUUGUUUAUCUUUGCUCUGUUAAUUGUUAAUAUGUUAUGAUAUGCUGCUGUGUCUAUGCUGAUGUGCUUAUGCUACUGUGUGUCUAUGCUACUGUGUCUAUGCUAUUGUCUUAUGUUGUUUUGUUGGAUUAUUAUGAUUAGGAUGAGUUCAAGUGCGACAUCUACUGAACCUAGUGUUGAAUCAACUAAGCCUGAAAAAUUAGAUGCUCCUCUAUCAAGGAUAAAGGAUGAUGCCAAUGCAUGCGUGCCUUGCUCUUAUGUAUUUUGAAUAUCUCAGUUAUGGGGUUUUAGGCAGUUGGUGUUAUUAUAGGGUUAGGAAAGUCGGAUUUUCAUUCAGUUUGAUGAAUGUGUUGAAUUAGAUAAAACUAUUUAGUAAUCAUCCUUUAGAUUAAAUAUUGACUCUCUUUUAUGUUAUUUGUUACAGUUAUGCAAUUGCUUAAAUUUAGAGCAUUAUUUAAGCAAUGUGAUAAAUUUAUUCAUAUUUGAGCAUUUUUUUAUUAAUUAGAAAUAUACAAAUAAGUAAUUAUAUUUGCCGUGUCUAAGCCGUGUCGAAAAUGUAGUCUUUGAGUUUUGCCGUGUCGCCGUGUCAGUACGUAUCGUGUCGCCGUAUCCGUGUCCGUGUCCAUGUAACAUAGGCUCAUUCCAAUGAUUCUUAUGCAAAAGACAUUAUUANNNNNNNNNNNNNNNNNNNNCUCUCUCUCUCUCUCUCUCUCUCUCUCUCUCUCCUCUCUCUCUCUCUCUCUCUCUCUCUCUCUCUCUCUCUCUCUCUCUCUCGGUGUACGACGAUGCAAGGUUGAAGACGCAGCCUCCUACUGAGUCGACGAGACCGCGCUCGUGGUCGUGAUUCUCCUCAACAGCGACAUCGAUUUUGGCGGCACCUCUCGGAGAUGAUCCUCAUCUGCCAGAACCUCUGCAACAAUCUCUAGAGCCCUAACGAGCACAUCCGGGGCGUCACGCUCCAGUUCCUCUACUGGUUGAGCAAGUUGGAGAUUGUCCGGCCGUUGAUUUCAUCGAUUUUGGCCAAUCUAGUCAGAGAUUGAGGUCUGUGUUUAGUGCAAACAUGGAUAACGUUCUUCUUCUCCUUUUUUUAUCGGAGAUCGUGUUUUUGUUUUUGUUUUGGUCAGAGAGAUUGUGGUUUUUUCCCCUUUUUUUUUCAAUAUAAUGGUUAUUAAAUGAUAGUAUCUUGAUUAUUGGAGUAAUUAGUCUAUUAUUGGGAGGUAAGAAGUAUCUAGUGGAGGUCAAUAAACAUUUAUUGACCCCAAUAUUGCUUUUAUAAAUUUUUUUUGAGAUGUAGGGAUUUGCCUUAGAGGUAAAAACUUCCUUUUUAACUCGAUUACUAGGAAUCAUUAACUGAUUAUUGAGGUUAAGUAACUGAUUAUUGAGGGUCAGUAAGUGAUUAUUGGGGUUCAGUAACUGAUUAUUGGGGGUUAAUAACUGAUUAUUGGGGGUCAUUUUGAGAGUCAGUAACCGAGUUAUUGGUGAUCAGAAUCCAGCAACCGGAAAAAAUCUGAGUUACUGGGGGUCAGUAACUAAGUUACCGGUUAUCGGAAUCAGGCGACCGGAGAAAAUAUGAGUUACUAGGAGUCAAUAACGGCGACCGAAGAAAUUUCUGGCAACCGGGGACCGGAAUCCGGCGACCGGCAACCAGAGUCCGGCGGCGGGUGACCGGAGUCCGGUGAGAUUCCGGCCAAGUAUUCUCUCUCUUCCACUUUCUCUCUCUAUACAUGUUGAAGUGGUGAGAGUAAAAUUGUCUUAAAAAUAUAUAAAAAUUAUUUUUUAUUAUAACAUUAGUAAAGAUUUGUGCAUAAAAAAUGUUACCUUAUAUUGGAAUGAGCUCAUGAAAAAGAUUAACAUUAAAAUGGGGAAUAAGAGGUUUAAAUUAGUAUUAAAUUGACAUUUUCCCUUUAAAAUAAUAACAGAACCAUCAAUGCCGUGAUAGUCCCUUAAUAUUUGGUGGCUAAUUAGUAAUGCAUUCAUGGUAGUUGUGCUUAUUUUGUGCAUGUAUUCUAAUUCUAUCACUUGCAAAAUCGUUGUGGAAGGUUAAGAGGAGAAAACAGAAAAUGGGGCAGCAUGCAUCUCAUUUUAUUUCCGAUCAUAUUUUCAUAUCAUAGACGUUCACUAUUUAGAUAUACAUGAGUUGAUCAUCUCUACAAAAUUUCAACUAAUUUAGUUAUCAUUAAGGUAUCGAAAAUGUAUUAAAUCAAUGAACGAACCGAAUCUGUUCAUCCUGAACUGUACGUUCUAUUAGUUCUAAAUCACAGUUUUGAAUGUCUUAAUGAUUAUCAACUUGGCUGAAAAUUUAUAUAGAUGAUCUACUGAUAUAUAUACCUAAAAUAUGAACGGUUGAGAUGAGAAAAUAUGAUCGAAAGUGGGACAAAUAAUGAAAUCCGUACCUUAGAUAAGGUAAGGAGGUCCUUACCUGAUCAAGAUUGUGUGUGUGUGUCUAUAGAGUUUAGGGUUUAGAGUUUUAGGGUGUCAUGAAGAUAUCAUACAUCCUAAUCUCUCUGAAGCAGCAUUGCUUUUCCCACCGAGAGAUGACUUGCCUGAAAAGUAUGCCGGUCAGAUGGAAGGGUUAUGGUUUGCCGGAAAGAAUGUUGCUACAAGGAGAUUUGUAUUUGGUGCGAAAGCCAUAUCUUCAAUUCAAGAUGAAGCGAAGAGCGAGUCUGUGCCCAAGCCAUCACAAGUUCAGGCCGUCACUGGUUUUCUCUGGAAACAUCUAAUUGCUGCUUCUCGGGCACUAACAUCAGGUAAAAUCAGUUUAUCAACAAGCGUAAUGUAUUUGGGGUAGUCCCUUAUUAAUUAGCUGUUGUCCUAAACUUCUAACGAUAUGAACUUCUUUUUCAAAAGAAAAAAAAUAGUACACACUUAACAUUUUUUCUGUUAUAAUUUCACAUUAUUUAUAUAUUUUUAUUACGUAUAGUGUACUGUGUACAUAGCUCAAAGAAAGAUAAUAUAUAUGAACUUGCAGGUACUAACUACUUCAACAAAACUUUCUAUAGCAGCCCAGGCAGUGAACAUAAGAUCACGGAUGAACAUGGAGACAGUGUUGGAUAAUGCCAUUGGGAUCUUGAUAUGGUCGGCUCCGGCCAUACUAGAGCUAAAGUCAUACAACACCAGAGAUCAAUGAUCUUACGCUGUGUCACUUGGUUAACUUGCUCAAUGGAUCUAUCAAACAAUGUAACGGUGAUUACUUUGAGACUUUCAAGGGUAAAGAGGGAUAUGGAAGCACGUGCGAGUAUCUCGAUUUUCAGAGGACUUUGAGUUCUAUGGAACCAGCACCAGAGAUUUAUUCAUUCACGAGCUGGACUAAUUUUUUCAACCAACUUGAUUUUGGAUGGGGGAGGACAUCUUGGAUUGGAGUUGCAGGAAAAACUGAAUCUGCAUAUUGCAAUUUCACAGUGUUGGUUCCAACACAAUGCGAUACUGGAAUUGAAGCGUGGGUGAAUCUAGAAGAAGAGAAAAUGGCUAUGCUAGAACAAGAUCCCCAGUUUCUAGCGGUAGCAUCUCCAAACCCCCCAAUUUCAAGGUGUUGAUUAAAAAAGAUUAUGUGGCUUGUGCAAUAUUUCGAUUUUGCAGUGAAUAAGCCAAUCAAUAAGAUGCAAGUAUGAUAGAUUCUGUCAAUAUGCUUGUAACCAAUAUAGCUCUUGUUUGUAACAAUGCUCUAUUAAGCUUCUAUAUAUCUAUAGAGUUAUUUCUCUAUUAAAAAGAAAACUAUGGAAGUUUUACCAAGGUUUGUUCUGUUUCAAAGGUAAGAUGCAUAUAAUACCCAAAAAUAAUGUUCACAUAUAGAAUCACAUAAAAUAUUUUCAAUACUUUAGAAUCUAAUUUGGGUUCGUGACAAAAUGAUGGGAGAAUUUGAUAUACACCUAAUUUUGAAGAAUGGUUUUU
rnacentral:lncRNA from 1 species